rnacentral:lncRNA from 1 species
UUUUUUUUUUUUCUUAUUCAGUACUCGUUAUGUUAUGAAGGAACUAGGUGAAACGUUGCUCAAGUAACUGACUAUUAUCAUGAGGGCAUGUACCACAUGACUUUGGUUUUGUUGGACACUAUGACUAAGUCUCGAAGAAUAUUUGAAAAAAGAUUAUGCUAACUCAAUCUGCAAAAAUAUCAAGCUUAAGAUAGUCUGAUCUUUGGUGAGUUCCUGAUCAGAGAUAUGGGAGAAUAAAGAAAGAGAGAAGCUAAAAAGAAGCUCUGAUGUACUUGUUUCUUUUAAAUGUUUGUUGUAUUGAUCAUCUCCAGACCAAAAGAAUCAAAGAUACGGACAUUAUGACCAAAUACAUGCAACCUCAUUUUGCAAGCUAGGCAAGUUAUAAUUCAAUUACAAUCAGAUUUAGAACUAAUCGGAUAGGAUCUAAUGGCUAGAUUGCAGAUGAUUUGAGUUCUCAAGGCAAGAGUGGAGAGAGAUCAUAAGUAGUAACUAUGAUAGAGAGUUAUGUAAAAGCAAGAACAUAAAAGAAAAAGGUUGGAGUGCAGCUAAAAUGAACUGACCAUUAAAUAUAUUCACAAUGGCAUUGUUGACUAUUUUUAUUAUAGGGUUAAGGUCCAUUUUAGCCCCUGUGGUAUUGGCCAUAGACCACUUAAGCUUUUAUGGUUUAUUCGUGUCUAAAAUAACCCUUAUAUUUUCAAAAAAGUAGCAUAUAAAUCCCUUCCGUCAAGUCUGAGUUAAUAGACAUUAUAGUUUGCUUAUGUGGCAUGCUGACUCACAAUAAACCAUUAAUAUAAUGACACAUGUAAUUUAAAUUUUUUUAAAAGAAACUGAGAUCACCAUCAAUGACGAGAGGAGGCGUCAUCAUGGAAACGACUACCAGCAGCAACACCGAGCCGUUGUUGCCUAGUAAGGCGUCAUACGCACACAGCCUCUCCCAUGUUGACAAUGAGCUCAGGAGCUUUCUGUCCUACCUCAGGUGGAUGUGCGUCGACUUGUUCGACGUUAGGCACGCAGUGGUCUCCUGGUCCCUCUUCCUCCUCCUAGGCAUCUUCGUCCCCACCACCUCCCACUUCGUCCUCUCCUGCGCCCCCAUUCGCCGCGCCUACGACAUGGUGGUCCAGCUUUCCUUCACCUCUGCCUUCGACCUCUGUCUCUCUGCCUUCGUCCGCUGCUACGGCCUCCAUUGCUUCUUCUUCCUUGACAAAAUGGACCUUAACUCUUUUUUAAACUUAAAUUAUACGUGUCAUUAUAUUAAUGAUUUAUUAUGAGUCAAAAUGUCACGUAAGCAUACUCUAACGUCUAUUAACUUAGACUUGACGUGAGGGGCUUAUAUGCUACGUUUUUUAAAAUGUAUGGGUUAUUUUAAACACGAGUAAAUCAUAAGGGCUUAAGUGGUCCAUGGUCAAAACCACAGGGGCUAAAAUAGAUCUUAACCUUUUUUUAAAUUUAAAUUACACAUAUCAUUAUAUUAAUAAUUUAUUGUGAGUCAGCAUGCCACGUAAGCAGACUCUAAUGUUUGUUAACUCAAACUUGACGGAAUGAGCUUAUAUACUACGUUUUUGAAAAUGUAGGGGUUAUUUUAGACACGAGUAAAUCAUAAGGGUUUAAGUGGUUCACAACCAAAACAACAAGGGCUAAAAUGGACCUUAACCAUUUAUUAUAAGUUCCAAAGCAAAUUUAGCCAUGACUUUAUUAAAUAAAUCAUAGGGGCAGUCAUAGUAGAGAAAAUAAAAGGAGUAUAUAGACUUCCUUCUAUGCACUGUUACAAAUUUCUUGUCUGGUUGAAUCUAGAGAAACAGAAAACCCUAACUGGACAAAAUAAUAAAAACUAAAACAAACCAAAUCAGACCAAAUUGGCUCAUUAAGAAACAACUAAAUGUAGCCCGAUAAAACUAAUUAUAAAGAGAUAUUUUGUUUAUUUUACACUUUUUUUAUAAAACUGAGGCAUUUUAAUUGGAUCACUUACUAUACCUACCUUAUUUGUUUAUUGUAUAUGUCUCCUUAGCUAAUGUGUGAGACUACAAGAUAAAACUUGAACAAGUGUUAAACAAGCAGAAAGUACAUCUCAGGCUCUUGUCUCAACCAUGUUUGAUAGAGAUGUGGUUAAUUUCAUUAGUAUUUUUUUAUGUUGAACCUUAAAUCUUGAGUUGCGAGAGUAUAUUCUCAUAAAUUUUGGUUUAUAUUGUGACAAGCAUGGUCAGGCCAUACAAACACAAGAAAGGGGUCAAACUCAAGGAAGGGGAUUUGGCUAUCUUUCAGGACCUUAUAUUCAGUAAAAUAAUUUCUGAUAUUAAUGAAUGAAUGUGUUCUCUUAUACACAAUUUUCAGGUUAAUGGUCAGUCAUUACUCCCGAAAACUAGAAAAAGAUCUUUAUUAGUGAACUUUUCUUCUAUUUUUGCCUUCUAAAUCACAUAAGUAAUAGUCUUGUACAAAUAAAUAAUUCACAUAAAAUGGAUUUGGGCACAAGUUCUUAAACUGAACUCUGUUUUAGCUAUUCCAAAGUCAUGAAAUUCAGUACUAUACUUAAACCUGUCUUUUCUUCCAACUUGUAGAGUGCUGUUCUUGCGUUGGAUGAUUCACUUCUUGAUGCUGAUCAAGUAGAAAACUUGAUAAAGUUUUGUCCCACCAAAGAGGAAAUGGAACUUCUUAAGGUAUGUGUAGAACAUGAUACUCAUUUACACUUGUUCACUAUUUUGGCCAUUGAACUUCUUGUUUUUUUGUAUUUGGAUUCAAAUUAUUUAUAAAAGGACUUACUUCUGUCAUUGCAACUUUUUCUAGGCCUACAGUGGCAACAAGGAAAACCUUGGGAAAUGUGAGCAGGUAAAUUCUUGAGACUUUUAACCUGUUAGUUGAAUAUUGCUUUUCACGACUGAAGAUAGCAAAAGAACAAAGUGCUCCAAGAACAGUAUUGAACAUGUUGAAAAAGGAGAUUGCAAGGUUAUAGGGCAUAUUAAUAUCUUUUGUACAUCAACGAUGAGAUGAAUUUGUUAAGGGCAACAAAAUGUUGUUAUCAAAGUCCAUCUAUGCAUCAACUAAAUUUGACAACAUUGAUAUAUCAAAUAAGAUAAUUACACAAACAAUUUAAUACCCUUUGGAUAAGUUAUACUCAUUUUGCUACAAAUCUAGGUUUCCAACAGGUGGCUAACUUUCUUGGUAAAUAGCACAUACACAAUGUGAUACAUGUAUGCCCUCUCCUUAUAACUUGGGGAUUAUAAUAUCACAAUAGGUGUUUGUCAGUUUUUCUUUUUCCCUGUUGCUAUUCUCUUCGUUUUCAACUAUAGCUUUUAACUUAUUUUUGUAUUGUAUCUUCUUUUUUAUUCUCUCAUUGCACUUAUUGAAACCAAGGAUCUGAAUAUUGCAUGUUUGGACAAGCAUGUCAAUUUAGAGUGACGUCAAAUGUCUUAACAAUUGUGGUUAAAAUGUAUACUCAUAUUAGAACUUAUGAUAUUGUUUCAAUCAACAACCAAUAGCCCCAUGCACAAGGUUCCCACCGGCCAUGACUAUGGGAUUUAGGGAGAAUCAAUGAAACUAUACCCAUGGCUGGAACCUUGGUCACCUGAAUAUUCUUCAAUUGACGAUCAUCAAAAAAUGAAGGUUGUAAUUGCAUAUAAAAUUGUCUGGCAACAAAUCAAGGUUUACAGUUUUAGGUACCAGUGCUAUGUCCAUAGUCUGAUUGCUAUGGGCAUAUCCAUGCUAGUGUAUUAACACGUGCUGUGCUAGCACGUACUGUGGUACCAAGAAAGGAGGGAAGAGGAGGAAACGGAGAGAAGGGUACUGGGAGGCCAGAGGGGUUGGUGGUGCCAGUGGCAGGGAAAGCAGGCAACAUUGCAAGGCACGAGGAUUUUGCAAGCUGGAAGAGAUGUAAUUAGGGCCUUGUCAUGACUCUCGUCUCUUUUUUAAACUGGGAGAUUAAGAAAAUAAUAAUAAUGGAUUGAUCUGUCCAAAAAUGGGUGGUCCUUAUCCCAGUUCAUGCCCGAACCAAUAAAUACUGAUCAGUAUAUUAUCGGUCUAGGUGAAAUGACAAAUCUUGGUCAAGAUGUGGUUGUUGAGAUUGAUGUGUAAGUUUAUUAAGAAUUUAGAAAUAACUAAUAAAAGAAGUUACUUCCAUGAACAAUUAGUUUUAGUUCCAAUAAAGGAUAAAAUAAUGGAGAAUGAUUUAAUAUGAUACGGAUAUGUCUAAAAGGAAACUUAUAAACUCAAUAAAGACAUUUAAAAUAAUAAGAAGAGACUUGACUGCUCUUUAUUUGACUAAAAUAUUGUCUUAAACAUAGCUUAAGGGUGGAAAAAGAUACAUGUAACAGACUAAAUAGUUCUAAUAUUACCGUUUGUUGUUGUUAAUGUUGUACAUAUCAAAAUCUGACCAUGGGCAUAUGAAUAUAACGUUGCUCAAAGAAAUACUAAAAGUACAUCUUGUCCCAUUUCUGGUGGGAACUUAUCGAGUAGAUAUCAUUGAUAGUAUGAAUGUAUCAUGUACAUUUUGAGGUCUUCCUGACCUAAAUGUAUUGAUCGUCUUUUAAAAUUAUGAUUUUUCUAGGAUAUUUCUUUUAUGGGUAGAGUAUUUCCCCGAAGUACAUUAUCCCUAUGUUUCCAGGGCCAGAUUCACUACAGUUUUCAGAAUUGAAUUGGGUUUUGGUUUAAGAUUUCGACUCAGGAUGACUUGGAAGUCUGAUAUAAGUUAAUUAUCAGGCUAGAUCUGAUCAUAUCUAACUUUGAGCAGGUAGACAGAAUUUGGAACUAUUUAUUUUCACUUCUAUUCCUGUUCAUUCUAAUCCAAUUGAAACAUUCCAAGUUCACAUACUCAGUCCACCUAUAGCAUUGUGCACAUUUCAAAAAAUAAUUGAUUUAUGGAUACGAAGUUCAUAAUCAGGUGUAUAGUUUGAUUAUUUGAGUGUGUUGUAACUCUGAUCAUGCACAGUAAAAUAGAAAAUUUCAUGUAAUUCAUCCACGAUGACAUAUAGUUGCAUGUUUAACUUUGGUGGUGAUCAACCACUGUUGAUGAUUUGCAACCACCUUUUAGUCGUCUUUGUAAAAGAAAUAUAGAAUUGCAGCUGAUGACACUUGUGCAGAACAUGAUCUCCAUGAAUUUAAACUUCACUUAAAUUAUUCUGCUUCACUUUAUCCUGAAUGUUCACAUGCUCACAUAUGCUGAGAAUGAGUCUUAGGACUACUUAUUUCCACCUUUUAUGCUUUAAAUUCUAUACACAGUAACUUUGUACUGCACUUUCUAUGAAAAUUUUUUGGUUUCAAAUUACCCCUAUAUUUUGAAACUCUUAGGCUUUUAUUGGUGGCAAUCACUAUGACUAGGUAAUCCAUUCCACAUCUAUGAGGUGCUUUUCUUUAGCCAAUUUCUAUCUGUGCAUUACAGGCUUCAUAGAACUCUUUUGCAUAUAUGAGCUUUACUGUGUGAUAGAAGUUUCAUCAGCACAUGUAUGCAUUUCCUUGAAUCUGUUACCUUUGAAGAUUCUUUUUAGCUGCUAUUUGGAAUAAAAAUAAUAUUUUUUUGGAACUUCUGAACUACAGUUCUUUUUGGAGUUGAUGAAAGUACCACGGGUUGAAUCCAAACUACGGGUAUUUGCAUUCAAGAUUCAGUUCAACUCACAGGUAAUGUACUUUCUCUAUUUUCCAUAUAGUGUGCUUCUUAAUGCACAUAAAAAGUAUGUUUACACAGCAUAUAUUGCUACAAAUUGGUCAGUGAUUGCAGGCCUCCUGACUUAUCAUCUAGAUUUUCUUACCUCUUUCUUUUCAGAUUUCAGAUAUUAGAAAGAUUUUGCACACUGUAGAUUCUGCUUGUGAAGAGGUAAAAAUUUUUAAGUUUAUUUCUGAGAUAUAUCUGAUAAGUAACUGCUUUUCAUAUGACUUGUCAGGUCCGGGGCUCUGAGAAAUUAAAGGAAAUAAUGAAGAAGAUUCUGCAUCUUGGAAAUACACUAAACCAGGGAACUGCAAGAGGUAAUGGAAUUUCUCUCUGUGCUAAAUCUAUUAAAACUAUUGAAGCUGUCUCAGGUAAAAGAAAUACAUGUUUGGGAAAAGAUGGGUAUGGCCACUCUCUUUUAGCUAAGAAAAAUGAGAAAAGGGUAUAAAGUAAAGAAUAUCUUUGAGGAAAAUAAGUAGAAAAUAAAGUAUAUCAAGAUUUUGAAGAAAAGCUUCUGCAGCAAAACUGAUGGCAUACCAACAAAAAAAUGUUAAAUCAAAAUAAGUUAAAAAUAACUCGGAUUGAAUAAAAUGAAGAAAAUUAAGAAACUCAUGAAAAAUACUUUUUAAAUGACUACAAAGGCAAUAACGUUAUCACAUUUUAGAUGUUUUGAUUUCCACAGAUAUUUAAGUGAUUGGGGAAGUGGUCUUAUAAAGAGUGAUUGCUGCACCAUUAUCAAUCUAAAAUUGCAUUAUCAUCAAUCAGGCUACAAAUUUGAUUUCUACAUGUGAAACUUCACAUUUUAGCAUAUUUACUUGGACAAUGAUGUGGUGCUAUGUACACUUGAAUGAAUACCAAAUAAGUGUUUUUCCUCCGAAGGACAUCACAUUGUUUACAAAGAUAUCACCUCUUUAUUCAAGAAAAUCAAGGUCAUAUUUGUCAAUUAGCUUUUUCGAAACCAGGGAUGGACAUAAACUAAAGCUGAGUCCAUUUAAUCAAUGAAAUUUGUCCUUUUCGAGUUAGCCUAGUAUACAUGUUAUAUAUGGCUUCCUAACUUCUUCAAAAUAGCAUACUUCGACUAUGAUACUAGACUACUAGUAUUGUGGAUAUAUAAAGAGCAAUUGAAAAGAAAUUAUUGUCGAGAAAAGAGGCACAUCAUUGUUUUCUCUAACUGAGAUAAACAUAAAAGCUCAUGUAGUCAGAGAUUUAAACUAUUCAUGUAUAGGUAUAAACUAUUCAUCUUUCAUGUUUCUUGUGAUACAUAACCAGGAUGUAUGUCACUUUGUUUCUUCAGAAGAAGCCAAAUCUGUGAAGGACUAAUAAGUAUAAGAAAGAGGAGGGUUUCACUAGAGGAGGGUUUCACUAGGGCGGUGACAGCAGAUAUAAAGUUUAGUGAGAUGAGUCAUGGAUCUCCACUGAUUUCAUUCUAUGUAGAUAUUAAGAAGUGACAAGAAAAUGUCUUCACAAACCAAAUUCCAUGAGAAGCAAAUGUGGGCUAGGUUGAAGAACCAAUUACAGUAGUCAAUAGAGGUCAAUCGCACAAAAGAUCCACGGAGCCAACCCCGAAUGUUUGGAACUUUAUGAUAUUUUUGUAGUCAUACCUCAUCCUCAUACCAUUUGUAAAACCUCAUGAAGUCUAGUUUACUUAGCAGAUAUAAAGUUGUAAUCUUUUGAAGUAUUAAUCUUAACAUGUUGCACCUUGUAGGAUUGUACUAUUUUUCUAGAAGGGUCUCCUCACCAUUUUUUCUCUUUUACAGGUUCUGCUGUUGGUUUUCGUUUGGAUAGCCUUCUUAAACUUUCAGAUACCCGUGCGACUAAUAACAGGAUGACCUUGAUGCAUUACUUAUGUAAGGUGUGGGCACAAUUAUUCUCUUUGCAUAUUCGUUAGUAUGGUAUUUCAAGGUUCCUUAUUUUCUUAUGUUAGAGAGGGCACCCAAUAUAUCAAAGUGUUGAGUUUGUUAUGUAAAAAGGGAAGCAGCCAAAUGCAUGAGGUUUGCAUCGAUCUAGGGUCUAGGAUUGAUCAAUAUAUGGUUUAAAAUGUUGGUCGGGCUGUUAUGUAUUGAUCAGUAUUUAAUGGUCCAACCAAGCAAUGGUAGUGGACCAUAUAGCUUGGUUACACUUGGGAUAUCACUGUUUUUCCUUUUUUUUAAUAAUACCAAGCAGUACAAACUGGUACAUUGUCUGGUAUCUGGGCAUCGUAGUAGUCCAAUAGGUCAUGAAAGUAGGCAUUGAAAUGGUAUUUAAAACAUUUUAAUAUAUAAGCUAGUGAUCUAAUUGCAUGCCAAGUCCAUUUUGGAUUAUACAAUGUAAGAUAUGAUGUCGAUACAGAUUGCUGUAAAGUUAUUAACUGGUUGUCCAUACAGAAGAUUUUGCAAUUUUGACUUGCUGAAGCAAUUUCACAAAAAAAAAAGAGGGAAAUAUUUGAAAAAAAUAACCUGGCUGUUCAACAUUUUUCAAAUCUACAGAAUGGAACAGACUAAGAAAUUCAGGACUAUUUAGAUGUUUCUUAGUCAAAGAAAUGAAUGUUUUUUUUUUGUUGGUUAAAUUGAUCUUUGCUUGAAGUAUACACCUUUCUAGCUACACCUUUAACUUAGUUCAUACUUCUCUUUUUCUCACACCAUAAAUAAAUUAUUUAGAAUUGAUUUAAUCUGAUGGUACACCGGUAUGUUAUCAAUUUCGCUAAGCUAUCAAUUGUAUGGUAUUAGUAUGCUAGGUGCGAAUAUCUGUCUGCACACACUGACAUAUAAGCUAUCAUUCUUACAUGUCCAAAUCAUCUUAAUAGGGUAAUGGACAACUCAGCUAUAUUUUCAAGCCUUAUCAAUUCACACUUUGAUGCCUAAAAGCCUUCUUGUUUGAAACACCUAGGUCCACCACAUGUAACCAUUUCAUCUAUAGGUCUCAUUAGAACAUGUUCACAUGAAUUUAAAUGAUUUUUCAUCAUUAUAUCUUCUGUGGGAUUUAUAUCUAAUUGUUCAUACAUGUAAAUAUAUUAUUUUCUAUCGUUACAGUAACUACACACCUACCACAACUCUUAUCAUUUUCUCGACACUUUUUGUACAUUUUGCUCUUCUAAAGCAUGACUGAUAAAAUAAUAUAUAACAUGGAGACCAAUCUUAUAUAUAACUGGUGAGUUCAUCUAUUACCAACAUAAAAAGACAAAAACUUAAAGUUGAUACUUGAUGUCGUUCUAUACUAAUAGGAAACUCAUUAAGCACACUUCUUACCAUAAGAAAGAAUUAAAAUAACUAUAUUUUAUUUCACAUGGCGGAGAAUUUGUCAUGUCUACCAGUCAGUUCAGAGAAUUAAACUAACUAUAAGAAAAGUUUCAGGUCCUUGCUGAGAAGUCAGCACAUCUUUUGGACUUUCAUGAGGAUCUUGUCAGUUUGGAAGCUGCAUCAAAGGUUUUGAACUGUUGAUCUGAGUCUACCACUAGAAGUUUCAGUUCUUGUUAUAUUGGAGUAUAUUGUUCAUGCAGAUACAACUGAAGUCAAUGGCUGAAGAGCAGCAAGCCAUCGUCAAAGGGUUAGAGAAGGUUGAAUUGGAACUAACUGCUUCAGAAAGUGAUGGUCCAGUAUCAGAAAUCUUUUGCAAAGUAUAUGCUCCUGUUCUGGCCCAAUGUUUUUCUUCAAAUCUUGUUUUCAUUUUCUUCCUGCCUAAAGGAUUGCUGCUUGUUCCAACAGGAUAUGAAGUAUUUGAGUUUAUGUCUUAUCAAAUCCUCACUAGAUGUUCUAUUGCAUUCAUGGCUUGCAUAUUGAAUCUUUUCUGCAUUUUUUUUUCUGAUAAAGCUAAAAAUAUUCUUGAUACUAUCCAAUUCCUAACAUAUUCUUAUCCUAAUCAAGAAACUUAUGUUUAGACUUUGAAGGAGUUCACUGCUGUUUCUGGUGCAGAAGUGCGAUCCUUGACAUCACUUUAUAAUGCAGUCGUAUGCUUCUGAAAUCUCAUCUCUACCAAUUGACUUAUCUAACUUUUCUAAUAUUUCAUUGUGUGAUAUGACAUUUGCGCAUGUUUUAAAACUCUUACAGGGUAAAAAUGCAGAUUCACUUGCAAUGUAUUUUGGUGAAGAUCCUGCACGCUGCCCGUUUGAACAAGGUACAUUUUCUAGAUGUAUUUAUUGAGCCAUGCAAUUUAGAGUUCCUCUGUACAAAAAAGUUGGGAAGAACCUAAACUUGCCCAGUUAAGGAGUAGCGAAAUACUUCUGUGUAAGCAGAAAGUGUUUAGAUAAGAGUUAAAAUGAGAAUGUUCAAUCAUUGUAAUGCAUUUGUCUUCAAGAAACUAGUUUUGGAAAAAGAAAAUAAUGAAACCUUGAUUUUUCGCAUAAGCAUUUUUGUGUUAUUAUUUUGCAGGAUUCUGCAACGAGGUUAGCUCUAAGAGAAGUUAGUUCUGUUAGUUGUUUAGACACUAGCGGGUUGAUAAAAUGGAGCGACAUUUCCUCUCUUCUCUUUGAUCUUCAGGGUUUUGUAUUGAUUUACAAUGUGACACCAUUGAAAAAUUGAACAGUGGAUGUCUUUACCAUUAGUCAUUUAUUUUCCAGUUGAUGUAUCUGGUGAUGUUCCAACAAAUAAAACCCAAUGUUAACUAAAAUAAUUAAAAGAUUUAUGGGGGACCUGAUGUCCACUGGUAAAAAAGCCAACCCUGUCAUUAGUAAUCAUUGUGGUGGUUCCUCAUUGCUCAAUGUAAGGCUUUUUUUUAUUAGUGAUUAACACUAACUAUAUCAAAGUUGUUCCUUUGCUAUCUGUGAGACCAGAGUUUGAGUCAUAGAAAUAGCUUCUAUAUUUAGAAAAAAGACUAUAUGCAUUGACCCUCCUCAAACCCAUGCAUUGGGAGUCUCGUACACUGGGUCUGUCUUUUUUUUUUAACAUCAAAGGAUUUCAUAGUAACUUGUACUCAUCUGUCCAGUUUUCUAUAGCUAUUCACAUGCCCUUUCGAAAGACUUUUAGCAGACUGUAAAGAAACCAGUUCUAAAAAAACACAUACUGAAAGCGGAUCAACUUUUAAAUCAAUAUGUAGGUAAGAUGUUCUUGACUUGAAUGAGGUUUCCUAGUCAGCUAAAUGUUGAUUAAUUAGAAAUCCAAAGAUAUCAUGUUCUUCUUCAGGGGACUUGUUGAAUCGUGUAUGGGCCCCUUGAAGCAUAUUAUUCAAUCUUUUAUCUGCUGCAGAAGGCAAAAUUGUUUCAAGUUGCACUAAAUAUUAUUAGCAUCAUGAAGAUCAACAUGGUGUAAGCAAGUCUAUUGUUUACAUCACUAAAUAAUAAUGUUCCACUAGUUUCAUCCGGAUGAAACCCAAUCGAAGUUUAGGGCUGUCAAAUCUUAAAUUUGUCCUUGAAUUUUUUGAUAAAUGAUGUUCCUACUAUUUAACAGUAAAUGUCAUGCUUGAUGUAUAUUUUGACAUGUCUUGUAGUUCCUAAUCAUUGUCAAAAGUUCAGUGUUUGGUAGUAUUUCAGCAAAGUUGGAUUAUUUGUAAUUCAAGAACAAUGAUAAAUUUGGAAUAUUUUUGUGAAAAGUGCAGAGUAAUAAAAAUUUGUUUAAGUAGAUAGUUAUAUGAUCAACUUUUGCACUUUUAUGACAAACUUCAUGGUGGCACACAUCAUUUACCUAAACAAUAUGAUAAUUAUUUAAUUCAUAAACAAUUUGUUUUAUUUUGUAUUUACAUAAUUUGAGUAUCGAUCACGGACAUGCAAACAGAUUGCUAAACCUUUUGGUGAAGAAAGAAUUUGGAUAAAUUUUCAAUUAUUUGACGAAUUUUGUAUCUACACAUUUUGUAGUCUCUGCUAUGUAGUUGGACCGCAUCUCCAAGUUGUACGUAUUUUCCCUAUAUCCGGACUUCACAUGUCUAGAUCACUAAAACAGAUUUGUCUAAUCAAUAAUUAUGGAGUCUCUUGUUUUCACCUCUACAUAUUCUCAUUUUUUUCUACUGAUGUGAUAAUUGGAAUGUAUUUACUAUUAGUUAUGGGCCUCCAAUUAUGCCUGCCAUCCUCGAUGCAGUGUGCUUGUUCUCCAUUUUGAAACUGGGACAUACUUUAUCACUUCAUAUUUCUACCAGUAACUUCUAUUUUUGAUGUCAAAACUUUGCAGUGGUCUCUACUAUUCUUAAUUUUGUGCGGAUAUUCCGAAAGGCACACGAUGAGAACCGCAAGCAGGCCGAACUUGAGAAGAAGAAAGCCCAGAAAGAGGCCGAAACAGAGAAGUCCAAAGAGGCAAACAUAGCAAAAAAUGUUUCUAGAUGACAUCUAGUUUGCCUGCCCUUGCAUGACUUAUCACCUUGUGCUUGGGAUACAUGCUGUUUUGGCCAGCAACCAAGCAUUUGUGCAGAUAACUUGCGCAACUGCUUCAGAAUUUGCACCACUCUUGUACGAGGAAACUGAAUUGCACCGCACCUACGGGGAAACAAAGUGGUAAGUAUCGCUCAUUCCACUUUGUUAUGCACUUUCAUGAAAGAUAGUACUAUUAUCUGACAGAACAAAUAAACUCUAUAACAAAUAUCAAUAUCAUGUGAUUUCUUCAUCAAGUUUUGGACGACUGAGUUUGUUUUGCUGCCCAUUUCCGACAGGUAUGUCUCAGGCAAUGGCCAAUUAAUUGUUUGGCAUUAUGGCUAAUGGAGCCUCAAAUUUUGUAUCCGUAACCUUUGUACAGAGGUAACCCGACAGCUCACAUGAUUCUUUUUGUACAGUUCCUAUUAGAUUUUCUUUUUUAAACUUAGGUAGAUAUGAGAGUAGAUCAGAAACUGUUGUACAAUGAGGAUGAAAGAGAAGCAAAAUACGAAAAAUUGUAGCUCUCUUGAAGUAGGUCACAGGAAUAAAUAUUCUUUUUUUCUGUACUCUUACGAGAAAUUUUGUAAUUUAAAUCAUUUUUGAAGAAUCAAGAAGUCAUGUGUUGCUGGAGGUGCAUGCCUCUUCCUCAUCCUACACCUCAACAAACACCCGAAAUCGGGUGCUGGCUAUGCUUUGUCACGAACACUCUCUUGGGUAUUAUUGUUGAAUUUUAUUCUGAAUUGAAAAGUUCUCUUGUCAGUUUAACAUUUGAGGACAUAUUAGUUUGUUUACCUGACAUUUGGUGUGCAACUAUCUUGGGCAGCCUGAUACUAGUGUGGAUAUCUGAAAUCAAAUAGCAUAGUUACUGCCUCGUGUUUACUUGAACAAUUGUCAACAGUAGCACCACUUUGCUUUGGUUAAAGUGCUGGUAAUCUUCAGUUUACGCAUGAAGUUAGUACAUAACAAAUUUCUAUUGUACGUAGGUGAGUUAUCAAAUAUCGUAUACAAUCUCCGUCGAAGAAAACACAGAAGGAAUGCCAUGUCAUCGUAUCAGGACUUCAUUUGCCAAUGCAUGUAGUACAUAUCUGUUUAUUAUCUGUGGAAUUGCCCCCCCCCAGUCAUCUAAGUACAUAGUUAGAAGCUUAUUUAUUGCUUGAUGUUUAUCGGAUUCGGGUUCGUGUUUGGCUCCUGACGACGGAUCCAGUUCGGAUUCCUCAUGUUGAAUGCGCAGGACGACGUGGCAUUUUCGGUCCUGUCGCGUGCUAUCUCUCGAACCUUCGAUCCCCGCCACCGCCGCUGCCCUCUUUUUAACUCCUCGAAUCAGAAGUGCCCAAUCCCCCUUCCUCUAUUCGAACGAGACUCGUGCUGCAACGGCGUCCGUGCUGGUACUGUUCUAUCGAUCCUCGACCUUUUGUGUUCUCCUGGUGUUCGAAGCUAUUGCGAUCGCUGAUCUGGAUCCUCGAUGCGAUGUCUGCAGCAGCCCUCAGGUCAUACUGCUGAACGAGGGGGCCAACACGUCCCAGGGGAAGGCACAGAUGACGAGCAACAUCAAGAUGGAAACCAAAGUGCCUGGGAUCUCCUCGACAUCGUCCAUACCGCCGCCAAGAUCAUGUAUCUCCUCGACAUCCAUGAUCUUGGAUCUCCUCGACAUCGUCAACAUCAAGAUGGGAACCAACGCCACAAAUCAUGGAUCUCCUCGACAUCGUCCAUACCGCCGCCAAGAUCCUCGUCGGCGGUUGCCAAGUCGCAAGACUCCGAGGUAACUUGCCCGGCCUGGGAUCACGAACGAACGGUAGGGCACGAGCAAAAGGUGCCAACGCCUGAAGAUCAAGAUGGAAACCAAAGUGUGUUUAUGUCAACAAGAACCCAUCGAUUGAUCAAGAAAGCAACGAACUGCUGAUCUGGGUUUAACCGCUGUCAGAUGGAUCAUGGGUGCAUCUCGCAUCAGCAGUUUUCUUAUGCACACAACGGUGCUGAAUUGUGUGUUCCGCGGCGACUUCUUGGAAGUGGCUUUGGGUACCGACUACAGAGUCUCACAGUCUGAACCUUGUGCAGGUGGGUGAUGGAACUACUCCCACUGUAGUUCUUGCUGGGUGAGCUCUCUCAGAAGAGGCUAAAACCUGUUCUUGGAAAUGGGAGUCCUUUCACAGAGUCUAAUCCGAAGUUGCAGGACUGCAGUCAGUAUCUCACUGCUCUCUCUCUCUCUCUCUCUCUCUCUUUCUUGGUAAUGAAUGCUCAUUGAAUUGAAUAACAUGUUUUGCAGGGCAUUAACAAAAAAUAAAGAAGUAGGCCUCACCGUAGAAGCGAUGGGCCUUUUGAGGAAAGCAAUCAUUCUGGGGUAUGUAUAUCUUUACUGGUAAUUUCUAAAUAUCUUAUUGAAGCGUCUUAAAUUAUACUGUUGGCUUUAGUGGCUUCCAUAAUAAAUAUAUUAAUGNNNNNNNNNNNNNNNNNNNNAUAUAUAUAUAUAUAUAUAUAUAUAUAUAUAUAUAUAUAUAUAUAUAUAUAUAUAUAUAUAUAUAUAUUCGAUGGAAGUCCAUAGCACCGACAUCACCAGGAAUGUUUUGAUCAUAUGUGAGAUAAAAAUAAGAUACAAUCGAGCUGGAGACAAAGCCUGUAUUACAUGCAAACGUAGUGUUAUUCACACCAACAAAAUCAGAAACGAAGAAAUAUGAUAAUUACUCUGUUGUUGUCGGGAAGAACGCUGAUAAAUACUUGUCAUGGCUGCCUCUGAUCGAAGAACAGAAGAAGGUUUCUUUCUCUCUUCACCUCCCUUGGAACAGUGGACCGGCAAUCGGGGUCGAGUCAUCGUUGAUCACGGCGUGGCCCUCAUCUCCUUUGCGAACUGGGCUCUCUUGUGCGACGUUGUUGGCUUUCUCGUCGGAGGAACCCUCACCGGGAUGUUCCAUGACCGCGUCCUGCAGCUGCAAGGCGUACUCGAGGUUCCAUAAGACAUCGCCCAUGGACGGCCGAUCGACUCCGUGGUCGGCCAGGCACUUCUCCGCAGCCUCCACAUACUUCUUCAGAGACGCUGGGCUGAUGGUGCCAACCAGGUGGGGGUCGAUGAUCUUCUCCAGCUGACCCUUGCGGUGGCACUGCAUCGCCCACUCCGCCAAGUUCACCUGCUCCCUUGGGAGCGCCGGGUUGAUGGCGGACCUCGCGCACAGCACCUCGAAGAGCACCACCCCGAAGGAGUACACGUCCGACUUCUCCGUCAGCUGCUGGCGCCGGAAGUACUCGGGGUCCAAGUAACCGAAGCUUCCCUUCACGGCGGUGCUGACAUGGGUCUGCUCCAGGGACGGGGCGGCCUUGGAGAGGCCGAAGUCGGCGACCUUCGCCACCAGGUUUUCGUCGAGCAGGAUGUUGGUUGUCUUGACGUCCCGGUGGAUGAUGCCCUGUGAAGCACCGGUGUGGAGGUAAUGCAGGCCUCUCGCGGCCCCGAUGCAGACCUCCAGCCGCUGUUUCCAUGAUAGCGGAGGGUGGCCGGCGCUGCCGUAGAGAUGGUCCCUCAACGGGCCGUUGGCCAUGAACUCGUACACCAGGAUCAUCUCGUUGUUCUCGUCGCAGCAGCCGAUGAGUGACACUAGGUGGCGGUGCCGAAGCUUCGACAGCAUUUGGAUCUCUGUUUGGAACUCAUUGAUCCCCUGCUCCGACGACGGAUUCCCUCGUUUGAUGGCCAAUUUGGUGCCGUCGUCUUGCAUGCCCAGGUAAACCUUUCCGAAACCCCCGAUGCCGAUCACCUCCUUCUCGUCGAAGUUCUUCGUGGCUUCCCUUACCUCCGCUAACGUGAAGAUCUUGCCGAGGCCAAUGGUACCGGAGGAGAAGACGCCCGAGUAGCCGCUCUUGCUCUUGUGGGAUCCGAAGCGGUUCCUGUAGCUCCCUUUGCUACAGCUGCUGCUUCUGCUGCUCAUGAAGCUGCACUGGCUCGCGUGGAGCGGGAGGAGCCACGACGAGAAGCUGUUCCUCUUCUGCCAAUCCGCUGGCCGCCGCCUCCACCGGCAGAACAUCACCACCACCAGGCCCAUCGUCAAGGCGCCCAACGCGAGGCCAACACCCGGUGCAACCUUCGUCACGAUGCUACCGGGGGCCGCACCGCCAUGGUAAGACCCGUCCACCGCAAACAGGCCGUCCAAACUCCCCGCCGCGUUGCUCAUCUUCAUCACCUCGAGUCCGUUGAGGAUGGCGUUGGGAGUUCCGGACGCCGAGUCGGGGGUCGGCCCGACCUGCACCAGGAUGGUCGAGUUGGUUAUGGUGGUGGCGUUGACGGCGAAGUCCUUGUAGUAGGCGACUGCGAGGCCCGAGGUCAACGACGAGAGGUCGAGGGUGGAGACGGCCAUCAGCCCGUUGAUGUACACGUUGAAGUAGAGCGUGUUGAGGCUCUUGCUGACGAUGUCGCACAAGUGCAUGCGGAUCAAGUACGAGAAGGCUGGGUCAGCAACCAUCUCCCAUGUGAUGUUGAAGUUGGGAACGGCCGUGUUCGAGUUGGCCAUCUCAUCCGCACUCGAGUAGACCGUACUCGGCGCGAUCAACGGCGUCACCGACCCGUCGUCGGGGUACUUUAUCGUCUUGGUGGACACCGACACGUUCUGGGCGGCUGCGGGGACCUUCAGGAAUCCGCCGUCGGUCCGCCAUUUCCUCCCCAGCGUGUCGUCGACGGGCACGAUCUCCCGUCCCCCGACGUUGAGCCGGUAGGCGACCUCGAGAGCCAACUUGGAGACACCAUUAAAUUGGCCAGCGGGAGAGAUGGCCGCGGCGAAAUCGGCGAUGAGAUUGUCCGGCGCCGACACGACCUCGACAGCGUUGAUGAACGCGAGGGACCCCUUCUUGGGCGCGAAUGUGAGGGAGACCUUGUCGCCGGAGACGACGACCAGGUACUCCUUGACGACAGCGGAGGCCGGCGAGUCCGGGGUGAAGUCAUGGAGGAGGACAAUGUCGUCGGUGCUCACGGUGAAGACGGCGGACGUGAGGUUGUACUUGGCGUUUGCGAACGCGUACAAGUAGAGGCGGAUCCAGUGGCGGCCGGGCUUGGAGACGAAGAAGCUGUAGGUGGAGCGGCCGUUGAAGACCCUGGCGGUGAGGUACAAAGGCGAAACAGAGGAGUCAGCGGUGGAAUUGUCGGCGGAGACGUUGAUAUCCUCAUUGGUGGAGAGUAAGGAGGAGGACUGCGGGUCGGAGCGGAAGACGCGGCCGUCAUUGAGCUGGGUGCUCGUGGACGCGCCGCAGUCGAGGAGGUAGUUGUCGGAGGGUGUAAACUUCACCGAGGCCGAAGCCGACGACGCAACAUUGGUGUCGGUGGCGAGGAGGAGGAAGAAGAGAAGGGAGACAACGACUGGUCUCAUCGUCCCCACCCCAUGCUUCUCUCCUGCAGGCAUAUUAGGAUCGGUAUGAACGCUCAAAUGCCAGAAUGCCCGCCGGCGUGCAUGGGGAGCCCCUGACACCGGCAGCUCCUAACGCUUUGCAGUUCUGCGGACGGAAUCGCAGGAGGAAGCGGAAGUAGCAGCGAGGCCGAGGAGGAAGGAGAGUGAAAGAAAUAGAAUUCGGGAGUCAGCUUGGUUGGAAGCACGUAGCGGAGGCGAAUGCGAGCAGACUUGGGGGCGACAGGCUUCUUGAUUAUUCUUCAAGUUCUCGUUAAGUGGACACCCGACGUCCUACCCGCCUUGUGGGACGGGAGAGAGCGAGUGGGCCCACACACUCCCUCCAGUCAGUUGUCAGGUAAGCAAUCCGAGCAACUCCCCCAGCGGCGUAGAAGCCUGAGAUUGGAGGAGAAGCGUAGUGGCUAGAUGGAGCGCGACGGAGGCUCGAUGGGAGAAGCCAGAGUGGAUCGAGAUGGGGAGAAGGGACCUACCGGUAUAAAGUCAAUCGGACGCUUGUGGUUGGACGUGGGGGCCUCGAUGCCCCGCCGCGUUCCAGCUGGGGAUGUCUCCUUCCUAUCCUUCAUCAUCAUCAUCAUCAUCAUCAUCUUCUUCUUCUUCUUCUUCUUCUACCUGUCAGUUAAUUGCGUUGCUGUUGUUAAUGAAUGAAGGGGGGGCGUUCCAUUGGCUGACACAGGAGAACUGGCAGAAACGAUGAGAGGGACGCAUCGGGAAGAGUCCUCCUAAUUGGAUCUCCCAAGAGGCCAGACAAUAGCUUCAAAGAAAAUGAUUCAACCUAUCAUGAAAUCACAGUACCAAAACCAGAGAAGAUGACGCGCUUGGCCCUUCACAUCACGUUGGCGUUUAUAGGAAUGAAGCUGUGUACAUUAAUUCUUUACCGAUCCCUGCAGUAAAGAAUUGUCUUACCAAUGACCAAUGGUGUCUUGUCUCAGUAGCCCAAAGCCUUUGUCUGGGGGUCUAAUGGAGUCGAUCAUCUAACCUGUUACUCUUUUCCGUGAGUUCCUCAUUUCUCGUUCCUAUACUGCAAGCUGAAACGUGUAGGACUUGCUAUUUCAGUAUUUUUCUUAAUCUUAAAAGAUUGCUAUCCCAUAAUUUUGUGUGGAAAGGCACAAAUCAGUGAUGCUUUCUUUCUUGGUCCUCGAGAACAUGAGUGGCACUUCCUCCACGGCUGUAGAACAUAUAAAACACUAGGCUCGAACUAAUAAAUGGGACCAAAUUAGUGUUUGUGCCACACAUGUCUUGGCCUCUGGUCCUCCAAGAUUUGAAUCAUCUACCUACUUAUUCUUCUCAUCUCUUUCUUCUACCUUGACAUGGUCCAUGUUCUUCAAUUUUGUUACUCACCAAAAUUAUUAGAACCUACCGACGAUCUUAAGCCGUUAAUUUUUUAUUUUUUAUUUUUUUUUAUAAAUUAAAAUUAAUUAUAAAAAUCAUCCAUUCCAAAAUAUUAAAAUUACAAAAUCAUCGAUUUUGAAAUAUAUAUAUAUAUAUAUAUAUAUAUAUAUAUAUAUAUAUAUAAUUUUAGUUUUUCAAACCUAUGAAUCGAAUCAUCUCGAGAUGAUUCUCGAGCAAUUAAUGACUACUCUGUUUGGAAUCGAUAAAUCGUCAGGCCGAUUCGAUUUCAGUUUUAGUUCGAAUCGAAUCAAUGGAAUUUUUUUUUCUUCCUAUAUUCUAAAUAUUAAGUUCAAAAUUCAAAAAUACAUAAAAUAUUCUUCAAGGUAAAUUAUUUUUAUGCUUUUUAUGAACACUACAUCGGCAAUAAUCCCUCCUGUUCUUCUUCAUUCAUGGACCUCAAACAGUGUGCAACCGUCGCUGCUGGGGUCCCUUCUCAUGGUGAGCCAAGCAACAUCGAGUUGGUUCCCGGCUUCCCCGGUUGUUUGCUACCGAUGACAGCGACAGGCCACAAGGCGAUCAUCGCUCCUGAUGGCGGCCGGCCGAGAACAGAGGAAGGAAACACAGAGAGAGGUGAUGAGGUCACUGGCGACAUCAACUACAGCUACUUGCAAAUGCGCUUACCACAACACUGCCUGUCUUCUUCGCCCUAUUUUUGAUCUGUGUCAGCAUCUCUGUUCCAUCCCUGACGCUUCAACCAACUUCGCCUCCUCACAGGUUACUACAUCUCAUCCGACCAGCGAUGGAAAACUACAGGAAGUUAGGUGCAACUUACAAUGUCUCAUGUUAUCAACUGAUCAUGUUUGCCCUUUUCUCCUUCCUCCUUUUCUUGGCUACAGAGCGACGACAGACAUGGCAGGAGGUUUGCGUUGAAUCCAACACAAACAUGACGGACACAUGUUUGUUAAAAUGCCUUGCAGCGGGCAAACGUAAAGACACGACCCCGAGUCCAGUUCAAUCCACGACGAUACCAUAAAGAAAACAUAUACAUACAUGUGGUAGAGGCUUUUGAGGCCGAGCGGAGGGAAAUGUUUCCGAAGAAAGCAGUAACAGGUGCAUUCAUCUCUGGACAUGAGCUCUGUCUUCUUGCCAAGAUUACCAACAAAUGCAUCAUCCGAAGCUCUGUUUCCAGGGGAUGUUUAUAGCAAGGAGAAAACAACGAGCGUGCUGGGCUAUUACUCGCUGACAGUGACAAUGCCCAUUCUCCUUCAUCCACGCCAUGACAGCGACGCUUGGAGACACGGGAAUUAAAUAAGAGCCCAACGGAGGCGAGUGUUUUGAGUUAGAACUCGAGAAGCGACACCGAGGCACGGUUUCUGAUUCUAUAGGGUUUGGGGUGGCGGUUUUGACCGACUGGGAAUUGCACCGAACCCGAAGCAGCGCCACAGCGAUCAGCGUCCUUCGCCACCAACAGCACGAGCCGGCACACAUGCGACGGAUCCCACCCCUUCGUUCUCCCAUCCACGGUCGGGGUACGGCAGAGGAAGAUAUAGAAGCGCAGAGGUCAUGGAGACGACCUCUCGGCUUCGGCUGAGACCUCCCCCUGCCCUUUCCGCUUCCAAAGAGGACUGUUUGCUGGUGCUCAGUGCGUGCUCAGUUCGAGCGUGUGGAGGGGUGAAAAGAUUAGGAGAAAGACCACUGACUUGACAGCACUGCUCUCGUCUUCCCCCCCUCCCCAUCCUCCCCCCGCGUCGCUUCGGGUGAAGUGUUUCCAUGGAAGAAGAGGAUGGAUUCGACCACAUGGAGGAAGGAGGAUUCUUGGAGUUGCUGGGCUCCGGAGGCGAACAGAGCGGCUACCUCUUCGACGCGCCUUCUUCCCUCUCUUCCCCGUCGUCUUCUUGCUACUCUUCUCUGACAGCGGCGCAGAUGCUUUGUUUCGGUGGGAAGGAAGAGGCGGCUCUUGCACCGCACGGAGCGCUUGCCCAGAGAUCAGCAGACAAUUCCUCCAUCUCUUCCCUCUCCUCCUCGCCUAACUCCACCGCCACCACCACCACCACCACCGCCAUUAAUAUCAACAGCGGCAGUUCUAAGACAUCAAAGGUACCCGAUUAAGCUCGACUUCAUCCACCUAUUUGCCUGUCGUCAUGCUUUGUUGCUAUAAACAUGGCUUGGUUGGCUGAUCGCCCUGUUUCACAUAGAAGAAGGCCGGGAGUGGGGGAGGUGGUGGAGGGAGGAGAACAGCGAGUGUGACGACGACUUCAACCACUCUCAACGCGAACAAGAAGCCAAAGACUGAGGCCUGUGCUUCUGCUAGUCAUGGCGCUAUCAAGGUGUCUGUUCUUCAACUGUUCAGUACUCGGUCUACGUAAUUGGUCCUUUUACAUUGGUUCACGGGUUGUUCUACCGUUACUGUUUCCCAUUGAUAAGAUUGGGUGCGAACCAUGUGCAGGUGAGGAAGGAGAAGCUGGGAGAUCGAAUUAUGGCAUUGCAGCAGCUGGUGUCUCCCUUUGGCAAGGUCUCUUGCAUCAUCAAUCUCCUCUUCUUUGCUUUGCUUCUCUUCUCAUUCUCGUUUGCACUUAAUUGCAAGAGGCCGCCUUUGCUUCUUGUUGUCUCUGCCUCUUGGUGUUGGUGUUCACCAACAACAAGCAAUCAUACAAGGUAUCAGUUUUCUGGUCCCUUUUGACCUUGACCGACCCUGUGCAAAUUUGGCAGUCUGAUACGGCCUCGGUCCUGCACGAAGCAAUGGGCUACAUCCGCUUCCUGCAUGACCAAGUCCAGGUAUAUACGUGUACCCUCCCUCUCGCUCUCCUUCUCCCUCUCCCAUCGAUACAUGUUCUUUCCGUCUCUCGUAUUAAUGAAGAGCUCUCUCUCUCUCACUCUUACAGUUCCGUGUUGUUUUGUGUCAGGUUCUGAGCUCUCCGUACCUGCAAGGCAUGUCAUCUUCGGAUCACAUCCAAGUAUGAAGAAUUAGACAAUGUUUUUACUGCUUCAGCUCUCAUCUUUAAUUUGAGCAAACGUAGGUGAUUUAUUUGGUGUCGAUCGUGAUGAUGAAGGAUGGGCGAGGGAACGAUCUGAGAAGCCGGGGCUUGUGCCUGGUCCCCAUCUCAUGCACGGAGCACGUAACAAACAGCAAUGGUGCUGAUCUAUGGUCCCCGGCCAUGGGAGGUGGCGAGCCCUCUCCUUCUCCUUCUUCGAAGCACUAAGCAAGCGUCUUCUCUUCUUUCCUUGGUGUAGUGUACUCUUUUCUUCUUGUGUUUUGGGCCUCUUCUCCUUGUUUGUCUUUUAACACCCCGUCUCGGGUUGCUGCUUGUUCUCUCCAGGCGUGGGAACAUUAACAGAAGAAAAAGGAAGCUAAUCAUACAUACAUAGGGUAAGUAUGGCUUCUCAACUUCAUAUAGCUUCAGCAUAUUAACUUGCUUCUAUAGAAGAAGAAGAAGAAAAAAAAAAGGCAUGUUUAGAAGAUAAUUAACACCAGGAAGAAGCAAAACAGCAAUUUUUUGUGGGGUUCUCCCUCUGUUCUUCUAUUGUACUGCUUUCAAGUUGGAAGGUGGGAGUUUUUCGUGUUUGAUUAACCACAUGAAGAGACCUCAUGUUGCUUUCAGAAAGGAUCGGAGACCUAACUUGCUCGAACUCGUUGCGUUUUGACUCUUGGGAUUAUUCGGAAUCUAUGCAUCAUCCCUUUGUUGACUUUAAACCUCAUGUUGGUUGGAGUUGCAUACAUGCACUGAGAUUUAUCUUCACCUCACAAUCAACAAGUUGUAGCUGUUGCACAAAAUUGAAGGGAAGGGAAAACGAUGAGACAAUAGUUUUACACCGGUAGUCACUCUUGCUCAUUUGAGGGGGGUUUGCAUGAGAGCAAACUGUGUUUUACUGAUGAUGAGACUCUCAACUGGACUUGUAAGUGUUUGGGUUUGAUGGAAGAGGCAGGCCACCACUCUCAAGCUAAAUAUAGAUAUAUCCCUACUCGAGGGAUAAGAGCGACUUAGAUGUCGUGGACCCUCCGAGAUCGGGUGGACGGGCUUUUCGAUCCGAUUCCUUCUAUACUCAAGUCAAUAAAAUAAAGAACAGAGUAAUUCUAGUGAAUAGUUAUUAACUUUGAUCUCUAGCGGGUUUAACCUCGGUUGGGUUGUCAUGUGUAGAGAUUGUAUUGGAGUGAAUAUUUCUUUUAUAUAUCAUUUGUCUCCCCCCAAGAUUUAUUUUCAGAAUUCUCUUAGAGCGAUUCAUUUAUCUCUCUAACGCUUCGCUUAGUGUGGUCCGGGGCGGGUGUGUCGAAUGGUGGGAGGAAACAACACACCACGUAAAACUAUUACAACAUUGCUUAGGAGUUUACAUUAUGUUGUGGGAAACAACUUUGAGAGCCGUGGCCUCGGGGCUGACAUGGCUCGGUUCGAGUCCGGACGUCGGGAUCUCUCCGGGGCGUGCCUCGAGCCCGCGGGGUCGGUCCGGUGCGAUGGUCCAAUCAGGACGGGGUCGUCGUCUCCUCCGGGCAGGGGCUCGUCGUCUGCGCGCCCGGCGGGAACCCUCGGUUUCGUACCUGCACAAAGGUCGGAUCGAGCAAGUUAGCAGAAAAUGUGGAGGGGGUCACACAUACGACAGUGGAGUACCUCGAUUGGUUGAUCGACUAGUCCAUCCACUUCAACACGUGAUGGAGGGUGGAGGGCUUGAUCGUCGCGUAGAGUAGCUCGAUUGAUCCGUCCACUUACCUUGGCUGAUCCGAUUGCCAAAGCACCCACUUCACUGCAGGAGAGAGAGAGAGAGAGAGAGAGAGUUUCAGCCAGCUUGUUAACAAGCCAAGGCUCCUACAUCAUGUAGUUGUUGUCACCGGGACGCAUGGGUUCAGCAGAUGUGUGCAAUUUCAAUAUUGCAAACAAUCUGACAGAGCAUGUGGCGACCAUGUCCGAGAAGACGAAGAGGGCGUCGCGGUGGAGGGUGUAGGCGUGGACGCCGGCAGUCGAGCCGAGAGGUGGAUCGGCCGACAGGUCGGACUGACCCAUGGGGUGGUGGUGGAGCUUCGCUCGGAGAAUGGUGGCGUGGAAGGACCAGUGGCACGAGGGCGACGGCCCAAUGCGGGCGGGCGUCUCGGCGGCGUGCUCUUUCCUGCCACCAUCCCGUGCGCCUCGUCCAAGUACUACCGUUAAAUGACAUGGUCACAUGCGUUUUCGGUGAGCUUACCACCUGCCACACAAGGAGAAAGCGCCUUCGAAAAAAAUUAAAUCUUUCCAAAAUCGUCCAUGAAAUGGUUACUUACUCUCACCUGCGGUCACCGGACUCGACUGCCAAGGACCGGAUGGAUGCUGACUUCGGGUGUAAUGGGUUCACGUCGUGCCACAAUCCUGUGCGCCUCGUCCAAGUACUGUCGGGUGAGAAGGUCACUUGCGUUCACGGUGAGCUUACCACCUGCCGCACAAGGAGAGAGUGCCUUGGAAAAAAAAUUAAAUCUUUGCAAAAUCGUCCAAGAAAUGGUUACUUACUCUCACCUGCGGUCACCGGACACGACUUCCAAGGACCGCACGCUCACGCUCACGCUCACUUGAGGUUACAACGGUUCAUUUUUCGGGCCUUAAUCGGACUCGCGGCGACCAAACUCUAUAGGAUCGAAGACGGUAGUCCGAUGUCCGCAUUAGCUUACCCCCAACACAUUUGACUCGGUAAAUGCCAUCAAAGCAAUUAAAACGUUGCAAAAUAGGACAAUUUUUCGCGUGCUUACAAAUCGACUCCGGUGUGCAGACUCACCGAUAUGCCAAAGUUCCACCCGAAACAUAACACGCAUAUACACCAGUGGGCAAAAACAUCCACAUGAAAUCCCCUACAAAAAAAGAUUGAUCAAACUAUACACCAAACUAAUCGGACUUUCAAUAUAAGAACCCAUCCAUCCAUCCAUCCAUCAAUAGCUGGUGGAUAGCCAAAUGCCGUUCCAUAGUAGCACCCCCCAUACUACUUGCCGAAUGAGGUUCCUCACCUCAGUCGGGACAGACACUUGCCAUGCUAAAAUGGCUGAUGAUGAUGACUGUUGGUACAACAUGGUUCAAUCAAUUUUUUUUGUUAGGUUAGUGUACAAGUACAAACAAGGAUAUCAGACCGCUUCCAUCGCUGCCCAACCUCUUGAGAAGAAGAAGAAGCAGCGGGAGGAGAUUUCUCCUGCCAGCGAGCACCCCAUCAGCAAUGUCAAUUUGCUCAGAACUGCCUCAAUGUCUGUAAUCGACUAACGGAUUGUCUUGAGUUCAGAAAUGUUUUGGGCGAACAAAGCUUGCAACUAAGUUUCGUCACUCCAAACCUCAGACGCAUCCACCAGACUGCAAUCCUGCUCAUCGGAAUGCAAGUAUCUUAACCUACUAUUUCUUCUCCUUCUCAGCUCCCAUCCCCACGCCUUCCGCCCGUCGUUUGUCUGCUGUUUCUUUUUUUAGGUUCAACUUCAUUCUUCCAAUUAUGUGCUUCGGGUGAUCCUUUCUCAUUGCUCACAUUGGCAGAGGAGCCUUCAGUGUUCCCUUUGCUCGACUUAGUGUUCUUUCUGCUGAGUUUGAUCAAGGUGUUUCCUCCAACGGGAUUAGCAGAUCAGGUCCUUUAUCAGGAAUCGUUCGAGAAGUUGCUGCAAAACCAUCUCCUGAUCUGCAGAGGAAGCAUCAUAGCAGUACAGUUGUGUGUUCAGAAGAAAGAAGAAAGGGUUAGACAAAACAAGAAACAGAUAAAACAGUGAAAGAAAAGCAAGAUGUAGACCUUUCUAGCAGUCACCCCUGGUUCUCCUGCAAAACCUUCUUUUGCCUCAUGGUUAGGAUAUUAAUUUUCUUUUAAGAUUUCCUUAAGUUUCUGCAAACAUAUAUAAUGAUCGAUUCACAUGUUUCCCAAUAGAGGUUUUAGUCACUAUGGGCUCCGACAAGAUACAUGUAAUAAUAGUGUAAUAACUCGACUUCAGUUCCACAUCAAAAGCAGAAUAAAACUUAAGUUAAUAGGUAUACUAUCAUCGACUUGAACUUAAGUAUUUUGGACCAAUGAUUCAUGUUUGAAAAAGUUAUUAGGCCAUGAAUGGAAUCAAAACCAACAAAUAAUAAUUCAAAUAGAAAAGGAAUACCUGUGGCCAUGACCAAAGGGUCAUGAUAAGAGCCACUGCUGGGUUGGGCUUUGUGUGCACCGUACUACAGUUUUGGAUUUGAUUCACCUUGAUCUCACAUGGGAACACGAAGAAGAGUUAAGUUAGUCUAUUUAGUUUCUAAGCGAUUUAGACUUAAACAUUUUGACCGGUGAUUCAAGCUCAACAAAAUUUAAUAAAUUAAUGGAUCGAUUAUCCCAUUGAAACCGCAUCAUUAUAAUAGUACAAAAAUCAAUGAAAAAGAUCCUUUAUGGCAUGAUCAUUAACAGUAAAGCAACAACAAAGUAAACCAUGCGCUUCCCAUGAAAGUACUGGAUAGUGAAAGAAACACUCUCCAUUAUUGAAAAGGCUAGAACAUAUGUACAGCAGCAGCCAUGAUAUCAGGGAACUUACGAUGGGAACAAAAGCAGGAAACCAGAUGCCCUGACAAUAUUGAGAGAUGCAUAAAGCAAACAAAGGGUUUACUAAAAAUUCAUUGUCACAAUUUCAUUGACUCGUUCAGAGUCCUGACAUAAACUAUCCAAAGAAUAGGCAAUCAAAAACAUAUACGUCCAGUCAAUUACUUCUAUCUACAUUCAUAUAUUGAUUGAUAUUUAAAACAAAACCUGCAAAUAUAAGAUGGAACUCAUCAUUUUAGCAACACUCAUUCUCACUGUUGAAGGUUCAAAGAACCAAGGUGCAGUGAAGUGCCAACCUAUACAUGUACACAUAGCAAAGCAAGACACAUAUCACCACAUUAAAGAUGGGACAAACCUAAUAUUAAUUAAGUUCACUAAUUUAUGUGCAAAAAUGUAUUGUGGCUCACUAAUUGAAGUAUAGAAUGUUGUAUCAAUUAGACGAAGAAAACAACAUUGAUAUACGAGAAAAGAAAAAAAAAAUAAUGACAAAAAGAAAGGAUAUAGGAGCGAGGAGGAUGACUAGACAUGUCCUUGUUUAGUGACAUAACCCUUCCCAACUAAGGUAAAAAACUUCUCCGGUAGCUGGUCUCCUUUCUUUUCUCAAAGAACAUUACUUUGAUCACAUGGAUCACACAGAUCUUACAUGUAUUAAUGACAACAAAACUGGUAACAUUAUAGUUUGUAACAUCUCACUAGACUCUUAGAUCACACCUUAAGCACACCCCUACUGAGACUGAUGCUCAUGAUAGUAGUUUUAUGUUGAUCAAAGACGAAACACGAGGUGCCCAAACUCGACCUCGAUCCAGAGAACAUUUCAUCUAGAACAUAGAACUAAAGACUUUGAGCUAAGCCUAGUUAAAGGGUAAGCCUAAUACACAAGGUGCCAGUGCAAGGUUUGGAGAGUUGGUGUAUACAACUUUACCCCACAAACAGAGAAACCUUCUAGUCUAGCUAAGAUUAGUCUAACUUGAACUGAUUGCCAAAGAAAAGGUUUCAAGAAUGAUGGUCAUCUCAUAACAUGAGGGAAAGAAAAGGGAAGGAAAACAUGGGCACUAGCCCCAAAAUUGCAAGCAUGUCAAAGAUGCCUAGGCCUCCAAUGCACCUACAAGUUAGGCAAAAAUCAUCUAACACAUCAUAUGAAAAAUUAAUUUGCCCGUUCAAAGCCACCAUUUUGUAUGAGUUCAUUCAUCAAGGUAUAAUAUUGUUACACAUUUCCUGCUCCAUGAGUAAUAAACCAGUUUGCUUUCUUGUGCAUGAAUGAAGAACUAUUGCCAUUAAACACAUAGCAUAAAAGAACAGAAUUUAGGUCCAAUGUAACGAUAAGCACUUUUAGGGCUAGAUUAAUAUUUUUUAUUAUUUAGGAUGACAAAAAGGUCUAAUAAUGUAGGGGCAAUAUUGGAAAAAAAUAAUUAAGAUUUUCUACUUAUUUUCUACUUAAGGAGGACCCCCACCCCUAUUUUUUCACCUUGGACACGUGGAGCCAUCGUUGUUGGUGGCAGCAGCUCAGCCUCAUCAAGAUCAAGGAGCCCUAAAUUUAGAGACAAAUAAGGGGAUCAACAAAGGGAUCCGGUAAGAUCUCUUUAAUUUCGAUUUAACGAGUAGUGCAGUUUUUUCUUCCUUCUUUUGGUAAACCCUAAAAUCCAAACCCUAGCUAACCCUCUCUCAAAAACAUCUCAUGAAGUAUUUGGUUUUUGACUUCUUUUUGUAAAUAUUAGCAUCGUCUAAAGUAGCCCGGUUACAUUUUUCUCAUCUUUAGAUUUUGUUGCUUCUUUGGUGUCAUUCCCAUCUCAAACAAAUAUUUUAACUCUUCAAACUAAGCACAUUUAUAAACAUUAACUUUAAUGUAUCUUUACUUCAAAAUAUGUGUAUUUUGUCAUACUCAUCAUAUAAGAAACACAUUCAACAACCAACGAGUUAAUUGUAUUAUACAUUAAGAUGUGGACUACUAAAUGCUCGAUUCAAGCCUCUUAGUAUCUACGUAUACCUAUAUUCCCAGGGACUAGAUUGAUCCCACCAAAUGACUAUGGAUUGAGCUAACUUGAGUCUAACCUCAUCACCCCAAGUAGCACAAAACAAAGGCAUUCAAGGUGUACGCAUACAAUAUGUUAUAGCAACAUGUCACACCAUACAAGCACAACUAGAAGUCCAUAACUCUAGUUGAUAACAACCUAAUCUACAUAGUCCAUGAGUUUCAACACACAUAAAAAAACAUCCAAUUCAAAUGAAAAGCAAGUAACAAGAAUGCUACUGUCAAACAGUCUCCAACAGUUUAUUACUUCUAUAUUUGCUUUUUAAUAGAGGUCUUGGACCCAUUCAUUUGACUUAGUCGCUGCCACUUCCUGAUUAUUAGUCGUUCCAUUCAUGCUUGUGUUGAGUUCAUGAUUUUCACUUAUAUUUAAAGCUGGUUCUGUCACAAGCAUAGAGAUAUCUUCAUUUGAAAGAAAAAUCAACAAGAGUGAGACGAGUAUUUACAAAAAAUACUCAAUAAGCGCACACGCCUCCCUCGUAGGGCGACUAAGCAAAAAUUUAAACACGUUAUAACUAUUCAUGUCACAUCAAAAAACAUAAUAAUAUAUAUAUAUAUGAUAUACUUUUCAUAUUCCUUUUAGAAAAUAUAAUAACUAGAUAGUCAAGUACGCACUAAACCCAAGGGAAUCAAACUCCACCCUGUGGACAAUAACCUUGGUGGACUUAAGUGUCACCCCACAUGUCGGAUUACGAGUUUACCACCCAAGGGUACUUUUCUCAGAAGAUGAUAGUAUAUUACCUUAGAAAAUCAUCUUAUAACAUUUUUUUUUUUAUAAUUCUCCCUACAAGACUACUACCAGGUAUCACUUAUACUACCUCAUUGCCUCUGCCUCGGUGGACUUAAAUGUCAUCCCUUCUAUCAUAAACAAAGCUAUAUAUUAGGUGUUCGAUGUAAUGCUCGCGUAUGUCCGUGUCUUUCGGUUUUGUUCAUGCUUUGUACAACAUGUAGAGGGCUUGCAGUAGAUUUGGCAGCCCCAUUUUAGUUGGCUUUUGUGGUCAUUUUAGGCUUGUAAAACGCAGGUUGUGUGCAAUCGACAUGCAGAGGAAAAACUACUCAAUAACAGGCCAUUCAGGCAACCAUUUUGAGGGUUUUCUAGCUUCGCAGAUUGGUACGAAGUGUCAGCCAACAUAACACCCAGGAAACUACCCGAGUGGCACAUAGCUAGAUGAGCCUUUGGGGUAGUGUCUAAGGUUGGUUCACUGUCUUGUUCUACAACAAUGUCAUAUGGACACUUAUGGAGACUUUUGACAAUGGCAGACCACCUUGGACCCUUUGUUGUUCGACCGUUCAGAGCUUAUAAAGUCUAUGUUUGUACUUUGCAUUGUCUAUUAAGUACUUGCUGAAAUGACUGCUUGUGGAUCAUGAGUUAAACACAUCCUCUAACUCGUCUUUUCUUUUGCAAGUUCUUAAGGGACCAUAAAAGGUUUCGGGGAGGCUGACCCUUUGUGGACAGACACGCAAGGGUGUUGUACGACUUAGACAAAAUCAGCUAAGUUUAUGACACUUCGACGGUUCAAAAGUUUACCACCCUUAGAAUCCCUGAUGAGGUAUAAGGCUUUGUAGUGGAACUAAUGAGAACUAACUUGAAUAUAUAUAUAUAUAUAUAUAUAUAUAUAUAUAUAUAUAUAUAUAUANNNNNNNNNNNNNNNNNNNNCCUAUUUAGUCUAACAAGCCACUUACCUCAAGUCUAGGCUUUCAACCAAUCUAUCAUUCAAGCCCUAAAGAAAAAGAUAAGGAUUUGAUUAUUUAAUUAUACCAUAAUCAUAAAAUAAAAAAUUACCUUUUCUCUUUAUAUUUAGUUUUACCUUUUUUUAAAACCAUAAUAAUAUAUUUAAAUAUCAUUAGCCUUGAUUAGUUUUACACUCUGACUUAACUAAUCUUCGUAUGAAGCAUGGGAUGUACUCUAGUCAUCAUUAAAUUUGGCAUUUUUAACCAAUUGCCAUGACAAUUAAUUUUUUGUAUUCUUUUCUUGGUUUUGGAAAAACUUUUUAUGAUGUCAAACACAAUAAACACCAUUAGCAUAUCUAUGUUCCACGUACCAGAAUUUUGAAUUUAAUGAUCAUUAUUUUUUGUUUGUUAACAUAAUAAAAUCAUAAAGUCACAUUGGUAGAACAAAAUAAACUCAUAUGUAGUAACUAAUUAGAUUAUAAUAAAACCAAAUUAAAAAAUUAUCCACUCAAUCUUGCAUAAAGUCAGUUGCAAUCAUGGUAGAAAGAUAAAGUUUGUAUUUACAGUGAUUCAAUAUUUGCACUUACCAUGGUGAUCAGUAGCAAGAGGCAAUUAAUUGCCCGUGUCGGCCUCCUACAAACAUUGAGUGCGACUGGUGCAAAAUAGUCUUCUUUUUUUUUUUUGCUUUAUUGUUGCCUCUGAAUUUGGAUGCCUCUGAACUUCGACGGUGGAAGACUUACACUUAAACAACAUAGGCUAGAAUUCAAAGAUUGAUAUUUGCAAACAAACGUUAUAAAGUAAUUCUUCUCUUAUGAAGAGCUAGUGAAUAUUAGAAAGCUUAUUCAUGGUAGGGGUGUUCAGAUCGAAUCGGAAAACCAACCGAACCAAAACUAAACCAAAAUUGAAUCGGUCCAGAUCCAAUUCAGCCAAAAACUGGUUCAUCAAUAGUUUGAUCUUGAAGUCUAUAAAUGGUUCUGAUUUAGAAGAGUACUCUUCUUAGAUUCGGUUAACCGGUUCGGACCAAACCAAACCGAAGAAGAAGAAAAAACUACACUCUUUAUUAAAUCAAAAUUAAAGAGAUCUUAUCGGAUGUUUUUGUUGAUUCCCCUCUUCAUCUCUAAAUCAAUGGGCUACUUGAUCUUGAUGAGAAUGAGCAGUCGCCACCAACAACGACGGUUCCACAUGUCCAAGGUGAAAAAAAAUAGAAGGCAGGAUCCUCCUCAAGUAGAAAACCCUUUCUUUCAGUAUUGCCUCUACAUUAUUUAUUAGACCUUUCGACAUCCUAAAUAAUAAAAAAAAUAUUAAUGUAGUCCUAAAAUUGCUUACUGUUACAUCCUAGGAUGUUGUAAUCUUCAGACUCAACAAGACCAAGAAAACCUAGAUUCGAAGAACACUCAAUUGCCAAUUUCCCAAACUUUACAAUCCACAAUUCCACUUGCUCAAAAGCUGCUUCCAUUAAAUUCCUUACCGUAUGCAGGUACAAUAUUUCUCGAGGCAUUGCUGUGUGUGAAAUCCAACGCUAUGCUGUUAGGGCACAAGUAUGUCCAAGAGAAUUAUUCUAUCAGUAGAGGACUUUUCCCUUUGAAUGUAAUUGAAAUCAGGAGGAAGAAGAAAAAAACACUUAUACCCAACUCACAAGAUGAAUCUUCAAUGCAUCUACAGUUAUCUUUUAGAAGCUCAGAGAGUUCAUACCGAGAAUGGUAAGAACACAUACUCUCUUGAGAAACUCUCGUCUCCCCCUCCUCCUACAUAUCACACUCCUUUCCCUUCCUCACACAACAAUUUACUUUACCCACAAAUCUUCUGCUAGUCCCCGAUCAAACUUCAGGGUUUCACCGAUCAAACAAUCAAGCAGCUCAAGAGAUGUCCACAGACAUUCAAUUCCGCAUCUAUUCCGACCAAAUCCUAGAACGCAACCGCUCCUCCUCUCACUCUGUUCGUUCUCCAUUUUCUCACCUCUGAUCACACAUCUCAACAUAGCGCAUCCAGCUCCUAAACCCCUUCCUUUCUUUUUCUCUUUCCUUCCUCCCUGGGGCACAAGACGAUACACAUGCCACGGCAAACCCGUCUUUCACACACACCACUACCAAAACAAAUCGUAAGCCAGCAAGACGCCCAGAAAACAACAAAAGAAGAAGGAGAAGAGGUGAGGAUUUGAAAGAGAAAGGGGUGCCAAAGGCGGCGACGAGCGAUCUUUUCUGGGUACUCUUGUUCUUACUUGGGCUGAUCGUGACGCCGCUUCUUGCGCUCGGUGGGUGUUCGUUUCUUUGCCGCUGAAUACUAUAUAGAUCCAUCCGCAUGGACGACCAAUUUGUCACGAUCGAACUAAAAAAAAGGGAGGGACGCCGCAGAGAAAGCGGUGUGCGGCGCAGAGAAAACAGAGAACAAAGGUCUUGGACUGCGGCCCGGCAGCGGCGGUCGGAGCGUCGAUUCGCGUGCCAUAUAGCAAUGGUCGAUGGACUCAUGUGGCCUUCAUUCAUCGCUUCUUAUGGGCCUCCAAUAGAAUCCAAGGCCCACAUAAGGCCCAUUUAUAGUACUUAUUAAAAUUGGAUCCCAAAUAGAUUUAUUUAUUUAUUAUAAAAUCAUUUCAUUGAAAAAAAAAUAGAAUUAAAUCAUCCAAAAAAGCUGAGCUAUGUCUCCUUCGGAUUCGGAUUAGAUCCGACCAUCGUUCCUAUUUCUCUGAUGAUCCACUUUGGAGAUAAACAUACUAUAAAGCCUCCAUUUUAUCCAUUACGGUGUGGCAUCACCAUUCAUCAGAACUGCUUGCCCUUCUUCGAUCGGGGAAGUAUGGGGGAAAAAAAAAGAAUGGAAAGAUAUUUUUGGAAACAAUGAGUUCAGUAAGUGUCUUUAAUUCAACAGGAGAACUGACAUGAUCUCACAACAGGUGAUAAUGACAAGCUCUGGGUCUAAGAAAACCAUACUCUAUCAUGUAGAUCAUAUAUCAUGUAAUAUUGACUUGUUCUUCUAAUCAAGCUUUAUGUCAUAAUCAUUCACAAAGGUCUAAGCUGCACAUUAACUCAUAAUAAUUAUACAAAAGUAUACGAGUGUAAUGAUAUUAGUAGCUUUUGGGCCACACUUCGGAUCAUCUCUCUUACACGAAGAGCUAGGAUCCUAUGUGGACUCAUUUGCGACUCGAUGCACAAGUCAGCAUCAUAGGUUGUCAUUCCAACUGUUGUUGCACCAUCCAUGAUUGACACUCUUAAUUUUUGUGCUGUAUUUUCGUCUUCUUUUUACGUCACCAAUCAUCCUAAUCGUUUAUUCCUUUAGAAACAGAAACUUCAAGUUGAGCUUAGAAGGUAGGUUGUCAUGCUCAAGUUGAUUAGGGUUCAUAGACAAGGAGCAGUCAUUAGCAUAUAUAAUAUGAUGCUACUCGAAGACUCAUCCUUCUAGGGUUCUAUCUAUCUUAAUGCAGCAGCUUGUGUCAGCUAACUAUCUAUCACUCAAAGUUAUACCUAAACAAAAUCCUAUGUGAAGUAGGAGUCAGAUCUCUCCACCUAUCAUAUAUUUUGAUGAGAAAAUAAGUGUGGAUUUGAUUGUUUUUCUCCUUGCAAAUUCUCUUCUUUUUGUUUAUUUAUUUCUGUCGAUAAGGUCAUGGAAUCAACCACAGUGUGCAGGUUGACUGCAGGAAGAAAACGAGGGCAGUAGAUGGAUCAGUUAAAAUAUGGAGCAACAGCUGACGCACUUGCAGCGGAUUUCUUCGCUAAACGAGGAUGAUGGAAGAGAGUCGCUGUGAAACACCAUGGGAGUUGUGCUGACACAAGGAAAGGAGAACACGAGAGAGAUCUUCCCUUUCUCUUUUGUUUACUUUGGCCAUCGGAAUACACCACAUGGCUUGACCAAACUCCAUGUGGCCGGUUAGGGUUUUAGCGUCUAUCUUAUGAUCCUUCGACUCGGGAGGAACACGAGUGAAAAUGUGAAUCGACCCUUCACAUCUUCUUGUACUGAAUCAUCGUCAUAUCUCGGGCCACGAAAGUCCUGCUCGAUCAUGAAACUUGAUGACAUUGCAUGCGAGCAACAGUUUCUCCUCGGACACAAGAAUGUUUCCGCCGGUGGAUGAUUUCAUAUGGUGAAGCAGCAGACACUGUUUGAGUGCCUCAAUGGAGUUGUCUGCACUUUAGACAUUGGCGAUCAAAGCUUGAUAUUUAACUGGUUAAGUAGAAAGCUUGCCGUCCUCCUUGCUUGGGGAGAUAAAACUCCCAUAAAACAAACACAAAAGUUUGGGACUUUGGGGGGGUCGUCCGUCGUUGAAAACCAAGGAUGCUUGUGCCAGAACAAGAGCUGGAUUCAGCGUCAGACAUGGAGAACAGCUAGAGCUUGUGUACAAGAAACCAGCAUGCCUAACUCCACUUCUGUGAGCAAAUAAUGGGUUCUUCCUUUAGGUGGUUUGUUGAAACGUCAAUUGUUAUCCCACUGCUUUGAAAAACCAAGACAAUUCCAACACCAAAAAGAUAAAAAGGGAAAGAGACAGAUCAGCUUUCCCCAUCAGGCCAAUCUCUGCAAUCACCCAUUUUUUUUCUUCUAUUGAUUAAUCCUCUUGAUGGAGCUGAAGAUUCCCGGCCCUAAUUCAGCUACCAAACCCUACCAUUGUUUACCGUCAAUCAACUGAAACAGGGAGUCAAUGUUGGGUGCAUGCCUUGAAUGUGAUCAGAUCCGCAGGGAGAUAGAUAGAUCAUUGUGCACUGCACUGUGGCAUCAGUAGACUAUGAUCCACCAUUUUCCACCUCUGUUUGCAAGGCACGAUACCAUCAACUUGAUGGCAACUGUAGCUGAGUCAUAUUCCUUCUGCUCCUACUGAGGUAUCACCUCAGAUAGCACUUAUCAUGACAUCAAGAACAGUAACCAUCCUACAACGAGCGGAGGAUACACAAUGCCACUGUCGGCCUGCACCAAGCCACACCGUUCCAUCAUAUUCAUUUUCCUCCCUGAGACGCAACCUCUCUCCAGCAAAAGUAACCCCCCCCCCCCCCCGAGAGCAUUGUCAUGCACUGUUAGGUGGUGUGGGUGGAAAGAAGAAGAGAAGGGUCAAAAGUUGUGUGUGUGCAGGUUGAAUCCACCUGUAUAUAUAUAAAUAAUAUGCAUUCCGUGCAUGAGAUUUCUGGCUUUUUGAGGUGGGCGCAAGGGGUGCAUGGUUAGAGGGAAACAGGUGAAGAUGGCUCUGCCAAAAAUAGAGUGAUGAGGAAUAUGUUGUUUUGGCAAACCCAAAACCAUGUUACGAUUGCCUAGUAUGUAUGCUAGGGCAAGCAAUCAAAGCACCUCAUCCCCUUUGAUUCAUCUUCUGCUGCUGAACUAAGAAGCUGAAACGUGGAAGAAUUCCAUGUUUUGUUUGGCGGCAUGAUAUCUAUCAUUCAUGCAGCCAGUGACCGGCGCAGGCAGAAACAAAUGCCCAGAUAAAAGAAAGAAAAUUAAAAGCCACAAACCCCUAUCUAUCAUUGUUUCAGGACUAUCUAUCCAUUCUCAUUACAAAAUCAUCAAGUUAUUCGCACUCUCGAUAAAGUUCUAUGUCAGCAUGUCAUUCUAAGGAAUGCUCUCAUCAACACACUUAAUCUCUUCGUAUACGUAUUCCAAACUCUCUCUAACUUAUUUGAGUUAUCUCUCAAACCCUCUUCGAUCUUCGUGUUUCACGUGAUUAUUGUCUACGAUGUUAAAGUUUUCGUAGGGAGCAUCGGACUUUCACCAAACUUGGUGAAACUCAUGGUCAAGCAUGGGAGGCCGGGCUGACUUUUAUAUCAUAUCCUAGACUAAAGUGAACUCCUUGCUGACUCCAAACAUCACAAGAUUCAAAAAACAUGAAUCGAGUCUGAUCAUCUUUUGUCAUGUUAGGUUAAGGAUGAAAAAUAAUAAUACCAAAUUGGUUGGAAUCAUGGGAUUCCUCAAGAACAUGUUAGGAAGGAGUCUCCUUUCAUGACCUUGGGUGCUACGGCAGGCUUUGAAUCGGAUGCCUUAACCUGCUCGUCCGAGGGAGCGUAGAUUCAUAUCACCAUCGUUGACUCUUCAACAACCAUAGAUUUUAACUCCGUACACCCAAUACAACAUAUGCCUAUUAAUGCAUUCGUCUAUAUGUAAGCAACAAUAAUCGACAUCUUCGGUCUCGACAAACAUAAAUAAUAUGACGUUAAUCCGUAGUCAGGGACUCGACACAUCAAGUCAUAGUCGAUAAUAAAUAAUGUUAGGAAGGAUCGACAUACAUAAAUUAUCCUUAUAAAAACAAUUGUAGAUUGACUGAGUCGUAGAUAAAGAGCGUUGCAUAGCAGGUAAAGCCUCUUUUUCUAUCCAAACCUCAUGCGUGGGAUGCACAUAUCUUACACCCACACCUUCGUUCUAGCAUCAGAAAGAGAAGGGAUCGAUUGGAAUGAGAAAUAUUGUCUCUCAUAUCUCGGAACACACGAUACACGAGUCCGUCCUUGUAGUACCAGACACAAUAGUAAAGGUUUGUCUCUCAUAUUAUCUUGUCACGCAAGAGUUCCCACUGAGACGGAUGCCGGGUACUGUUCCUGUUUCUUCUACGGCAGUCAUUGCUGUUUGUGCAUGGAAUGGGCCUCAAUGAUAUGCGCGGCUGUGGCGCUACUCGAUCCACUCCGUCAUCUGAUCGGCCUCCCAUGAUUUGUGUGCAUGCCGUGAAGUCACACGCCAUCAGCUUUUUUACGUGACCUUCCCAACACAGGCAGGUUUCCAACGCACCCUGGAGUCGACACGUGGAUCCCCGCCACUGCGGGUCCCACAGGCUGGGCCUCCGCGUGGGCGACGCCGUCGGAGGGCGAGGGGGACGACGUCACGCGGAACGGCAGCUGCCUGUGCCGCCGGCAGCCAGUCCUUAUCGCGGGCCACCGUUGGUGACGCGCAUCGCGACAGGGGUCCGACGAGGCCGGCGCCUACGUGUCCGGCACGCUGGCCCGCCUGUCCCCUCCAAUCCCUCCACUGACGCCACUGUGGGCCGCCGCCUGCCCCUCCCCCGCCCUACACGCCCCCGACCUCCCCUAUGUCUCCUUGCGCCCCCUACGUGCAUGGUUCCAUCCCCACUCCCCCUCUAUAAAUACCCCUCGCCCUCGCCUCCUCUUCCCCACCUAUCUCAUAGCAUCACCAUCAUCCUCCUCCUCCUCCUCCUCUACAUCUCGAGUAUGACCAUAGUCGACCGAUCCAUGGAGGUGAGACCCGCGAACUCCACCAGGCUGGGUCCGGCGGCCUGCGAGAAGGACGCCGAGAAGCUGGGGUUCAUAGAAGAGAUGACCGUGAACGCGGACAAGGUGCAGGAGAAGGUGUUGGCGGAGAUCUUGGGCCAGAACGCGGAGACCGAGUACCUGCAGAGGCACAAGCUCGGCGGCGCCGCGGAUCGGAAGACGUUCAAGUCCAAGAUACCCAUGGUGACCUACGAGGACCUACGGCCGGAGAUCCAGAGGAUCGCCAACGGCGACCGGUCCGCCAUCCUCUCGGCUCACCCCAUAUCGGAGUUCCUCACCAGGUGCUACUCGAUCACUUGGUUGAAUUUGAUCCGAGAGAUGGUGACUUAAUUCUUUACGUGUGGGAUAUCUUUAUAUAUAUACAGUUCGGGGACGUCGGCCGGCGAGCGGAAGCUGAUGCCGACCAUCCAAGAAGAGCUGGACCGGCGGCAGCUCCUCUACAGUCUUCUCAUGCCCGUUAUGAACCUGUGGGUAUCUCUUCCUUGUUGUUUUCUUUUAGCUAGCGAUGGUUUGUAUACUAAUCAGGACUCCCAUCUCCAUCUGCGUCGGCUACAUACAUCUUUUCAUUAUUGUGGUAGAUGAUUCCUCCAGUGGACUAUGGGCUUAAACAAAUUUAAUGUCUGCGCCUUCUCAAAAACAAAACCACAAGUCGAGAUCAGAAAGUAGUUAAUAUUUUCCUUCUUCUUCUUCUUCUUCAAUCUAUUCUAUAGUCCGAGUUGCAACCAACCCUAUCUAACUCGCACUAAACAAAUUUGUAGGAUAUAUCUUAUUAUAGAUUUCGCUUGCUAGUCUAUUGCUGUUUAGAUUUGCAAACAAUUUUGUGUUUGUUGACGAAGCCUCUUUGGUGCAACAACUUGUCCAUAUAUUGAAUCGCAUGUUGAAGGAGUGUCACAAUGAGAAAUCCAUCAUCUUAAUUGAGGUCAAACUUGGAGAUGGUGAUAGUAUUUUGGUUAUCGAUGUGGUUUGUCAAUGGUCAGAUACGUGGCUGGGCUGGACAAAGGGAAGGGGCUCUACUUCCUGUUUGUCAAAUCGGAGAGCAAGACGCCCGGAGGCCUCCCCGCCCGCCCGGUGCUCACCAGCUACUACAAGAGCCACCACUUCCGCGCCCGCCCCUUCGACCCCUACAACGUCUACACCAGCCCCACCGCCGCCAUCCUCUGCGCCGACGCCUUCCAGAGCAUGUACUCCCAGAUGCUCUGCGGCCUCCUCGACCGCCUCGCCGUCCUCCGAGUGGGCGCCGUCUUCGCCUCCGGCCUCCUCCGCGCCAUUCGCUUCCUCCAGCUCCACUGGCAGGAGUUCGCCCACGACAUCGCCACCGGCACUCUCAGCUCCAUGGUCACCGACGCCGCGGUCCGCGACGCCGUGGCCGAGGUGCUCAAGCCCGACCCCGGCCUCGCUGAGUUCAUCGUGUCGGAGUGCGCUGCCGGCGAUUGGGCCGGCAUCAUCACCAGGAUCUGGCCCAACACCAAGUACCUUGAUGUGAUCGUCACGGGCGCCAUGGCGCAGUACAUUCCCACCCUCGAGUACUACAGCGGCGGCUUGCCGAUGACGUGCACCAUGUACGCGUCCUCCGAGUGCUACUUCGGCAUCAACCUCCGCCCCAUGUGCAAGCCCAGGGAGGUCGCCUACACCAUAAUGCCCAACAUGGCUUACUUCGAGUUCCUGCCCCUCGACUCAGCGGCGUCCGGACCUCCGCCGCAGCUCGUGGACCUGGCCGACGUCGAGGUCGGGAAGGAGUACGAGCUGGUGAUCACGACCUACGCGGGGCUCUACCGUUACCGGGUGGGCGACAUCCUGCACGUCACCGGCUUCCACAACGCGGCGCCGCAGUUCCGGUUCGUGCGGCGAAAGAACGUGCUGCUGAGCAUCGAGUCGGACAAGACGGACGAGGCGGAGUUGCAGCGGGCGGUGGAGAGGGCGACGGAGUUGCUGAAGCCGUGGGGGGCGACGGUGGUGGAGUACACGAGCCAGGCGGACACGAGGGCCAUCCCGGGGCACUACGUCAUCUACUGGGAGCUGCUGGUGAAGGAAGGAGAAGGGGGGAGGUGGCCGGGGAAGGAGGCGCUGGAGGCGUGCUGCCUGGAGAUGGAGGAGGCCAUGAACACGGUGUACCGGCAGAGCCGGGCGGCGGACGGCUCGAUCGGGCCGCUGGAGAUACGGGUGGUGCGGGGCGGCACCUUCGAAGAGCUCAUGGAUUACGCCAUCGCCAGGGGUGCGUCCAUCAACCAGUACAAGGUGCCGCGCUGCGUCACCUUCCCCCCUAUCAUCGAGCUACUGGACUCGAGGGUGGUGGAGGCACACUUCAGCCCCGCCACCCCUAAGUGGACCCCUCGCCGGAACUACUAGCCGUGCGCCAUUUUAGUGCUUAGUUUGCUCGGUGAUAAGGUGUGUGUGUGUGUGUGUGUGUGUUGCAGAUGGACUUAACCCGUCAACGGGACGCAGUGGGUAAAGGGAUCCUAAUAAAUGGACAAAACCACCUACCCGUGGGUUUAGAUUUUAGAUGUAUGACAACGUAUCCGUUCCAUCUUCCUUCUCAGUCGUCCGCUCCUUUGUUUCUUCGGAAACAUUAUGUGGUUGACUCUUUCUCAGAAUAUAUCCAUACAAGUCUCUGUUACUUGGGGACCCCACCCACCCCCCUCUCUUUGUGCUCGCUCCUCCUCAUUGAAUCCCUGGACAAACAAACAACUAGAGUGCAUGUGGUAAGACGAUUCCGACCCCCUUCUCUUUCUCUUCUUCUCCCUCUGUCCCGCUCGUGAGCUGCAACAGUGAUUGGCCCGAAAAGAUCGUCAUGGGACAAUUGCUCCCACUGCGCUGCAUGCGAUCAUGACAUCCCAGACAAACGCACCCAACUUUGUGGGCGACAGCAUUAGCAACCGGAGGAGGAAGAAGCACGACGACAUGCAUGAGACAGUCGCGGGUCAUGUGAGAAAAGACGAUCGGCAAUAAGGUGUUGCGCAAAAAGUCCGGAAGAUAACCUUCGUAACAAGAGAGUCAGAAUGUAAAGUUACCUUCAUGCCGGGAGACAAGCAUUAACACUCGGGCAGCUCUCCAGUUGUCGAGUGGAAGGACUGACUAAACGCUGGGAGAAUCCGACAAAGACGUCUGCACACAGAUAGAAGCACCAAAAUGAGAAAAAAAGAAGAAAAUGACUAGACAUGCGUGAAGUUGGUCUUUAGGGUGCAUAUGUCGUUUUGCAUCCAAAAAACACAAAACAUGUACAAUAUAUGACAACUGCUUCGAGUUGAUAAGGACUUCACGAAAUAUCGACAGAAACGAAGUAUCCAUCAUUACCUGGCCCGCCUUGAAAAUUAAAUGGAAAACACUAAAUGUACUUGAGCAAUUAAUCUACUCAUUGAUAGAGAGCAAAAAAUUGCAGCUUUGAUGUCCGAUUACUAGGCAAGGCUUUUUGAUCUGAGAGUUGCCAUAUGGCCACUCUCUUUCGGUGUUAAUUUCAGCUGCCAAAUUUGUUACCAGUUUAAGCGCAAUCAAACCUUCAUCCCUGCCGAAUAAGGGUCAUACUUGGCUCAUCAAACAGCCUUCUUCGGCAAACCGAAAAAAUUAGAGUCGUCUGAAGCUCUCGAGCAUCAUUGUCACCUUCUUGGGAUAUAGUUUCUACUUUGACAGACUCUCUGAAAAGUUGCAUGAGCUCCAACAGGUACUCGAGGCCUCUAAGGUGGUGGCCCAAGAGCAUGCACCUUAUGCCAACACCAAAGACAAGUUUAAAUUCACUAUUGAAAAGCAUGAAUUGCAAUCACAAAAGUCUGCUGUGCCAUCCAUAUACCAGAAAAGAAGGCAUGCAAGAGAAUCCCAUGGGACUGAUACGAGAGGCUGAAACUGAAUCCAAGUGUUCUCGACAACUUCUGCACAUUCAUCUUUUCCAACAUUUAAGGCACCAUCUGUCAUAUUAUCAUAGUGAGGUGGGGGCUUUCUUAAAAUGCAUCUUUGGAGAGAGAGAGAGAGAGAGAGAGAGAGAGAGAGAGAGAGAGAGAUGCAAGGAGGCCAUGUACCACAGUGAAUAGUUUCUUCCACCCCCAGGCAGGUUGAUUCUGAAAAUUCAGCUACCUACAGAAAAACCAGUUUAGUUAGGUACACCACAUUGCUCAAAAAAAGUUAUUACCUCAAAUUGAUUAUUCUGCAAUAAGUGAAUUACUCAAAAAGGACAACUUGAUGAGAACACCAAAGGCUUAAGAACAAAAUAUCAGGACAAUAAUAUUUAGCUUUGAAAAUCUUUCUUAUAUUGAUACUUCGGAAAUUUUACCCAUCAUCAUAUUGGAGAUUGAUUCAGUUCACAUUCAAAGCCUCUUAUCUGCAAGUUGACUUUAACAGGAACAUGCAACUGCUUUGUUUAGCACACUUCUUUACACUGUGAAUAUAACAAACUGGAUUACCCAAAGCAACAGAGCCCAUAGAUGGGAUGUAACUACAAGCUCCAUCUUUGUCAUGGAAUUCAAAGGAUUAACAAAACAAAAUCAAUGGUUACUGGUUGACCAUGAUUAGAAAAAAGUUUGCAGUUAUGAUCAAUUAUCUGAUGCAUAGGAAUCAUAAAAAAUUAUACUUAUAACAAGCAUGAACAAUAUUAUAGUAUCCAUGUGAAAACACAGAGAAAUUAUACUUUAAUGCCAAUAAAGAUCAAUUUUUGGACUCUGGACUCUGGAGGCACCAUAAAUCAUACCUUUUCAAGUCUAUGUGCUCUAAAUUACCACUAAAGGAUGGACUUGAGGAAUUACAAUAUUUCACAGAGGAGCUGCUAUAUACUAAGUUUAACUUCAUUAGGCAAUAAUGAACAGAUAAGGGUAAUAACUGUUACACAUGAAGAUAAGUUCAUCUUCAUGUACAGCGAAACCUCGCUGAAGAACAACAGUGUGCAAGACCUAAAGCCAGUUUUUUCUUCUUUCUUCUUUUUUGAAAUUGUGCAGUAAUUAGGGCCUCCAAAAUCAUUAUUGGUUAGUAAAAGCAACAUGUGAAGGUCAACACACCUCAGCAUGAGCGCCAGCCAACGGUUAUGUGCUAUCACCUGUAGAUUAAUUCUUUCCAUACGUAAAACAAUUUUGUCAACUAUCUUGGAUAAAUGUGAUCCUAUACUGAGUAAUCAAGGCUUUCCUUGGACAUAGGUUACAAACAAAUAUCUUAGUAUCUAAUUUGAUAAGAAAUUGCUGAAGGUCAAGUUGGCAAAGAACCAUUUAGUAAUGUAUCGGCAUUAAGGCAUUAAGGCAGAUUGCUAAAUAAAAUUUGCAAAUUUAGCAAUUUAUAAUAUUGUUAAGUAUAGACCAUCACAGAAAAAAGAAUUUAAAUUCCACUGGUUGAUAAUCCUUCAAACUAAUAAGGUAUUGCAGAAAGAACAGAUAAAGUAGUUCCAUGUAGUUUGCUUUUGUUUUUCCUUCAAGUUAAGUUGGAAAUGUAACUAUUGUAAUGAUGAUUGGAUUAAGCGUAUCAGGAGACUACAAUUGGCAGUGUUAGCAGGAAAAUGCUUGAAGGAAAUACAGCAGGCAGGACCAGACCAUGCCAGUCAUAUGCAACAUAUAACAUUGUUUCUCAGUAGAGACCCGAAAGAUUCUUUUUGAAAAGUCAUUGAUCAACUUGUAAAAUGUUGUAGGUAACACAACCUACCUUCUCAGGUUGCCGUGAUCUUAGAUAAUCCAACAGGUCGUUCUUUUGAAACAAGAUCCUAGCUUAUGUGAAUGGCAGUUGACGAUGCUGACAGAUAGCCUGUACAAGAAAGUCUAAGAGCCAGAUUCAUCCUCAAUAUAUCGAACUAAAGACAAGUCGACAAAUGUUUGAUUUUGAAACUAUAUAAAUAUAUACAAAUAUACACGAGGAAUCAAUUCAUCACAUAUAAGUAUACCCUUCAAAAUAUCUAGGGUGUUUAGCAAGAACAGUAUCAGUAGAGUGAUACAGUUAUCCUUAAGAAUAAGAAUGCAUCCAUAUGUAGAUUCCACAUAAGGUCAGCAACGCUGCUACCUGCAGUUGAACAGCCAUGGAACUGACUGACCAUUUUUCUAUUACUAGAGAAACUAUCAGUGGACGUUGCUAAAUGACCAUCUAGAUAGGGAUAUUAUUUACUAAUUUUAUUUACAAACAAUCAGUGGACAAGUGGUCAAGUCCAACAACACCUUGAGUUUUGAGUAAAAGAAAACAUUAACAUUAAUUCACAACAGAGGAUAUUGCUUAAAUGUAAAGUUAAGCUAUAUGUGGGCUUAGAACAUAUGUCAAGGAUUAAUGUGUGUAAAAGAGUAAAACAAGGAUAGUUGGACACCACCUAUACAGAUGCAAAACUUGGAUACUAGAGCAGGAACUAUAUUUAAGACCAUGAAUCCUCCUAUGGUUAACACUAACAAACAAUGGUUGUUUGUGAAGGAUAGCUAUCAUUGUCUGUACAAAGAAAUGGAUGUUUAAUUGAAGAGUCAGGAUAAGGUAAUCCCUCCAUGAUAGUAACAUCCAUUUGUUUUCACAACAUAUAGGAAACAAUAAAAAACCAUAAAUUUACAGAAUAAAGGUAAAACCUCCCUUUAUAUAGACUAUUUGUACCAUAUGGGCAUUUUAAAAACAGGCAGCCUAAUGCAUAAGGCUCUCACCAAUAUUGGCUUCGCAGAGGGUUAAUGUGCACAGUCUUAUCCAUGCAAAUAGAAUAGGUGAUUUCUGCUACAGCAUGGCUGUCAUUUUUCCUAGUUAAGAUAUAGAUGUUUGAUUUAAAAAAUUUAACAUAGCACUCACAUCUUUCUAAAUAAGAUUCUGUUGUUUCUGAAUCAAAUUAAAAGCUGGACAAAAAUGACUUUUUUGUUAAACAAAAGAGAGAUUUCCCAACAGACUCCAAAUAAUUACCAAAGAGGCUUGCAAAUUUUUAUCUUAUGACAACAUCAUGAAAAAUAAUCAAUUAAAACAUGAACCUUUCAUUACUCACUCUUGCUUUCCAACAAAGAGCAGCAUGUUUUGGGUCCAAGCAAUUGCGUAUACUUCCCUUCCCCAUAUAAUAAAAAGCCUAGCAGGGUGCAAAUGUAUGGAUCAAUUAAAAAGUUAGCUGUCUAAAUGCACAGAUCAGAGUUUAGUUAAGUUUGGUGUUCUAGAACCCCAAACAAGGCAAUUGGGUUUCCUACUAACCAUAUGCAACUGAUCCUUAUAAAAAAGUAUAUGACAUAGGCCAACUUGGAAGGACUGAUGUAAAAAUUUGUGAAAAUGUUUGAAUAUAAUGUCAUAUGCAUUUUUGUUGCCUACACUGUCUUCAUCAAAGAAACCAAUAACUUGAAGAAUAGUUCCCAGCGAGCUUCCACCAGGACAUGAAACUGGUUGGAUGGAAGAAGAACCAACAUGCCUGAAAUAGCCCUUUUCAUUCAAUCCACUGUAUCAGCUGAUACAUUUUCUUCAAUAAGGCUCACGUGCAAAGGCCCUAUCUCUUGUAUCAAGUUGAAGAGCAUGAACUUCUGACAGAACAUCAAUGUAGCUCUUGAGGAGAUCAAGUUGCAUCAGAUAUACUGGUGUUAAAAGACAAGGUCCCAAAAAAAGAACUAUGGCCAACUAUAUAUUUUGUACAAUUGCAAGAUCCUACUAUCAUGCUACCAUAUUGUAUUCACUCAAUCUUAAUAAAUUUCACAAGUUGAUUGUCUUCUUAUAACUCUGGAAGCUUUACUUUCUUAGAAAUUAAAAGCUUUUAUCAGAACCUAUAUCUUACUCGGUUCAGCUCCUAUCUCCAGAAGUGCUAACCAAUAGCAUAGUGUAUGUACUAAGUAUUCUUGCAAAAAGCAUGUACUAUGUAGGUACAGUUUGACAUCCACGUUCAAUAAAUGCAAAACUUAGGAAGAAGUUACAUCAAGUGUAGUGCAUGACAUGGUUUUACGGUUUGAAGGCAUUGUCUCAUUAUGAACUGAAAAUACCCAAAAAAUUCAUGCCUGACAAACAGCAUGUCUAAGCAUUCUUUUCCAUCCAAGCUUAUCGGAUCCAUCAAAAUUCAGAGUUUUAUUUUUAAUUUUCAAACUAAGUGAGCUUUUUCACUUCUCUCUAUAUCAACACAUGAUUUCACACAACUACUUCCCGACAGAUACGUAGAUUGCAUCUGUAUUGAAGGAACAGUCUUCUCGAGAUUGUGUUGGUUUCCGUACUGGCAAUAAAUUUUUGAGUGGAAACCAAAAUUUCACCAUACACCACUGAAAUCAAAUUAACACCAAAUUGGCCUUCAUCCGGUACGUAAAUCUAUCUCCGUCCCAAGGUAUCACCCGUUGAUCCACAAGAAUUGAACAUCGACCAAAAGAAAACCCACGGGUCAAUGAAUUCAAUCUAGUUUGAGACAAGAAACCAAGCUGCUCAAAGAAAGAAUCUUACAGGCGCUUUGACAUGCAGAAAGCAUGGGAGACCGAUAAGCAAAGAACCAUAGCAGUGCCGAGUUCAAGGAAGCAGACAAUUCAAGAAGGGUUCAAGAACUAACCAUGCACAAUUGCUUCUGGGCUCUGACCUUGGCCUCGAAUUCAUUGAACGGAGCGGCGGUGCAGGCGACGAUGAUGGGCAACCGGGGCUUCGAGGGUUCAAAGGGGGAACCGGAAGGGGAACGUAAAGACGCUGACGGACGGCAGCAGAGAGACAGCGAAACGGAGGAGGAGGCCGCGGUCACGAAAGGAACGAAGACGGGGGGUAGAAACGCGACGGUCGUCGGCAUGUUCUCUGCCGUCCCUCUCGCCCCUCUCUCUCUCUCUCUCUCUCCGGCAGCUCGGUCUUCCCCUUUCUGUUGUCGUGGCGUGCGUUGGCGCUCGUUAGGGAAGUCCAGCCCGCAGGGCUUGUAUCUGCCACGUGGUGACGCCACGAGGAUACUGUGCCACACCCGUCGUAGGAGCGAUGCCACCUGGCAUGCCACUGCAACAACCGUCGAUGCCUGUGUCUCGGGCGACGGACCAAACACACGAACACGGUUUCUCAUUGCCCGGUACAUGCGGGACCCGCGUGUCCGGUGCCCUGAUGUACAUGGCGUGCAACCCCUCGAUUAAAAAUUACCGCACUAUAUCUGUAUUCGUUCUCUUAUUCAUUUUUCUGAUAAUAAUAAAUAAUAAAAAUCGAUAUGUAUACGUGUCGGUCGGACAUCAUGUCAAAACAGAUCCGAAUGGCGACGCCAAUCUGCCCUUAUUCUCCGCGUGCGACUCGCUGGUCCGAGUACGAACACCCAACCCCGUACAGUCGCGCAUCACCAGGAUAUCGCUGUCGCUGCAGCACCAUCGAUCCGAUUCGGCCCCUUUUAUCACCAAGCCAUCAAUUCCCUGCCUUCCUUAUCUUCCCACCACUUUCUCCGGACAAUGAGCGCUCCUCAAAGCAGUCGGAUGCCGAUGCCCGUCGUCCAUUUUAACAUCACACUUUGAGGUACGAAGGAAAAAUGCUGCAAGAAGGAUGAGCGGACCAUGUCGUGACAGCUCAAAAGCGUCACGAAAUUCGUCGCCGAUGACUUCUUCCUCACGCCCCUCACCCAUUGUCACCUUCUACAGACUUGUACCCGCACGCAACCGAUUUGGUGCGUAUCGAUUGGAUCCCGCGUUGGGCUCCAGCUGCUGGCCCGUUUAUAAGGCAGGUGGAUAAGUGAGCUUCUUAAGAUCGGGCUGCGUCGAUACCUCCUACGAUUAAGCCCUGCGGUCUUUUAGCCAUUUUCCUACCAUUGCUUUUGUUAACAGCGACGAUUCGUGUGGCUGCGGGUCAGAAGCUUUACAUCGUGAUUUAGGAGUAACGAAAGGAAAAGCGUUAGACGGAAGGGCGCACAGAGAGAGAGAGAGAGAGAGCGCACAUCACCAAACACCUCGCUGAGUGUACCACGUCGCCGAUUGCCGAUGGCGUCCUCCCUCGACGCCGACGAUAAGUCCCGCCCCGUUUCGUUCCCCCUUCGCCUCCUCUCGCCGACUUCCACGUUUCCUCAGAAGCCUCAUGAAGAGGAGGCGGAGGAGAAGGAGGCGAAGCCCCUCCUCCCGAUCAGAUCUGAUGGGAAGGAGCUCAAAGGCAGCGGCUGCGACGACGACGACGACGACGAGGCGUCGGAGCGUGCGUAUGAGGCCAGCGAGAAGGUUGUCAUCGCCGAGGACGACGCCGAGGGUGACGGAUCCGCGCCGCCGCCAUUCUCGUGGAAGAAGCUGUGGCUAUUCACCGGGCCGGGGUUCUUGAUGAGCAUAGCGUUCCUGGAUCCGGGGAACCUGGAGGGGGAUCUCCAGGCCGGCGCCAUCGCGGGGUACUCGUUGCUGUGGCUGCUGUUGUGGGCGACGGCGAUGGGGCUCUUGAUCCAGAUGCUGUCGGCGAGGCUGGGCGUCGUCACGGGGCGGCACCUCGCGGAGCUGUGCCGGGAGGAGUACCCUAGGUGGGCGCGGCUGGCGCUGUGGUUCAUGGCGGAGGUGGCCAUGAUCGGGGCGGACAUCCAGGAGGUGAUCGGGAGUGCCAUCGCGAUCAAGAUCCUGAGCCGUGGUGUUCUUCCGCUCUGGGUUGGGGUCAUCAUCACGGCUAUGGAUUGGUAGGACCUCAAUUAGUUCGUUAGAGUUGCUGUUAAUUACUCUAUUUCUGACCGGAAAGAAAAAAAUCACAUCUUUUAUUUGCAAGUGAAGAUAAGUUUGCGUUGUCCAGGAAUAUGCUUUAUGUCUCUCCUUCGCUAUUGGAAAUCUAAUAUCCUUCUGUUGAUGCAUUAUAAGCUGCAAAAUCACAUUGACUGAACAGUAUUCUCUUUCUGUCGAUGUCAUAUAAUUGUAUAGACUAAUAGAAGAAAUAAAAUAAGAUACCAUGAUCAUAAAAUAAUUUGGUGUUGCAACUUAUUUGAUUAUGUUAAGAUACAUAUUGAUAUUAGUUUAUCAGUUAAUUUCCUUUCACAGUUGACUGGGAAUUCACUACUUAUUUCAAUAUAAUAUGGCAUGUCAUUAUUUGUUCUGUUAACACAUAGUUAUACCUAUAACUUCUCUUGCAGCUUUAUUUUUCUGUUCCUUGAGAACUAUGGUGUGAGGAAGUUAGAAGGCUUUUUUGCAGUUCUCAUUACAACAAUGGCUUCUUCGUUUGCAUGGAUGUUCAGAGAAGCCAAGCCUAGUGAAAAGGAGCUUCUGAUCGGUACACAACCCAUUCCGAUGUUAUGAUAUGUGAUUGUGAUUUGCUCAUUCCUUGCUUUAAGCUUGGUUGGCUCUAGACCAAAAGUUUCUCUUGUUUUGUCUUUGCAGGUGUUUUGGUUCCAAAACUAGGCUCGAAAACAAUAAGGCAGGCUGUUGGAGUCGUUGGUUGUGUGAUAAUGCCCCACAAUGUCUUCCUGCAUUCUGCUCUUGUACAAUCAAGAAAGGUUGACCCUGACAAGAAAAGCCACGUUCGAGAGGCACUAAGAUAUUACUCCAUAGAGUCAACAAUUGCCCUAAUUGUCUCAUUCAUGAUAAAUCUAUUUGUUACAACAGUUUUUGCAAAGGGAUUUUAUGGUACUAAAGAAGCAGAAAAUAUAGGUCUCGAGAAUGCUGGGAAAUUUCUACAAGAGAAGUAUGGGGGAGGUAUAUUUCCUAUUUUAUAUAUCUGGGGAAUAGGUUUACUAGCAGCUGGGCAAAGUAGUACGCUUACUGGCACAUAUGCUGGACAAUUUAUCAUGGGUGGAUUUCUAAAUCUUCGUUUGAAAAAAUGGAUCAGGUCAUUGAUCACCAGAAGCUUUGCGAUUGUCCCAACUAUAGUCGUUGCUCUAUUCUUUGAUACAUCUGACUCCGCAUUAGAUGUUUUGAAUCAGUGGCUUAAUGUACUUCAGUCGGUUCAGAUACCAUUUGCUCUCAUUCCACUCCUAACUUUGGUGUCGAAGGAGCAAGUUAUGGGAGACUUUAAGAUCAGCCGUGCCAUUCAAGUAAGCCAUGAGUUCCAAACUCCUAUAGAGUACUGUUUUAUUAUCUUUUUCCACAUAUAUUAAAUUAAAUUAAUCCAUAUUAUGAUUUAAUUCAACCAGAAACUUAUCAUAUACAAUAAAAAAUGGGGUAACCCUUUUUCCCUUCCUGGACCAUUUAGUAAGGUCAUGAUUUGACUUAUUUUUUUACAUAUUAUACAUAAUGGAUUUACCUGGACCAAUACAUGAUAUUCUUGUAGCAUUUCUGGGGUCAGUUCUUAUAUUAGGGGGUCUGGGGGUAGUAUUACUUACCAAUCCUAUUUAUUCUGCUUUUUCAUUGGGAUUGGUUCUUGUUUGUAUAUCCUUAUUCUACAUUCCAUCGAACUCUUUUUUUGUAGCUGCCGCACAGCUACUUAUUUGUGGUAAUGUUCAUGAAUGGUUUAGAAUAUUCCAAUGAUUCGUAUUUUUGGACCAUUGGAGAUGGAGUCACUUCACUGGUUUGUACAAGUAUUCUUUUUUCACUAAUUACUACUAUACCAGAUACGUCAUGGUACGGAAUUAUUUGGAUAUUUGGACUACAAGAUCAAACCAGAUUAUAGAACAGGACCUAAUAAGUAAUGACCAACAAAUUGGGAUUCAUUUAUCGACAGAUUUUUAUCUUCCCUUUGAACUAAUUUCUAUAAUUCUUUUAGUUUCCUUGAUAGGUGCAAUUACUAUGGCUCGCCAAUAAUAAAUACUUAGAAUUUUAAAAGAAUUAAAUUUUUUUUAGAAGUUU